AAUAUGUGAAUAAAUUUAAAAAAACUUAAAUGUAUAUAAUAUUUUAAUAUUAAUAAUAUUCAUAGAGCCAGUUUUAUUAUAAGAUAUAUAUAGAAUAAUGCCCAAAACGUUACACCAAAUCGUAUACAACACGUGAAAAUACAAUUACCCAAAUUACGAUAAAUAAUCAACCAAUACUAUAAAUGAUACAAUUAAUACAAACAUUCCCAAAUAAUAUACAUGUUAAGCCAAAAACAAAAUGAAUCUAAACAAAUUUUUUAAUUGAAAUCAAAGUAGCAUAAAAAAAUAAUUUAAAAAAUAAAUAAACUACUACUAAUAAAAUAGGACUCAUAUAUAACAUGCAUGAAUUCACAGGGACCACAAUUGAAAUUAUCCCUGAUCCUGAAGCAUUGCGUUGAGACGUGGGUUAAAAUGCAAAGCCAUACAAAUUUUAGGAAAAAAAUUAAAAAGAAAAUAAAACAAAUCAGGCGCAGAGGGGAGCGAAUCAUAACACGAUGCAAAGGGGAAGGGCCUGCUACCAAAAUAAACCAUUUUAGGCGCAAAAGCUCCCCCCCUCCCUUUUGACACGGUAUCAUUUCAUUAGCAGGUCAUUUAAGACCUUCCAUUUCCUAAAUCUAUAUUAAACACAGCCCCCACUUCACCAAACUUCUCAGCCCUAGAAAUCAAUUUGUUUGGGCAUAUUCCAGCAGCCACCGAGUACACCACUUCAUCAGGUGAUCGAUGGCAUUCCAGCGACGAUCGAUGAUGCCUUUGGACCCUUCCAACUUUGAUUUUCAGCGAAGAGGGCAGAGAUCCAUGGCUGAUUUGCAAGGUAAGACUUGCCUCUUUAUUCUUUUUGUUUCAGAAAACCAAAUGAUGAAAAAAAUGUUUGCAGGAAAAUUUAUAGAAAUAACAGAAAAAUUAAAAGAAUAAAGAAGAUCACCUUUCCAGAUUUUUUUUUUGAAAUUUUCUAGAUUUGAUAUAUGUAUAUUGUAUGUGUAUGCGUAGAGUAUGCGUACAGUGUGAGUGUGUAAAAUACAGGGAUGAAAUCAAUGGCUUCUUAUAGCCUGAUUUUUUGGAAUAAAAAAUAAAAAUAAAAAUAAAAAUUACAUCAUUAGCUGUAUUCUGUUAGUAACUCUUCUGGUACAUUCUUGUGCAGAUUUGGCCGUACGGAGGAGGCGUGUGAAGGAGGCUGCGCGAGGAGCCACUCGUGGGAGUCCCUAUUUCUGGCCUAUUCUGGCACGUUCCAGAAGCUCCUAGUGCUGCUGAGAUAAUUUUGGAUGUAUUGGUCCUUGGGUUUUAGGGCUUAUUGGGUCAUGGGUUUUAAAAUUAUUGGAGUUUAUGUAAUUGGGUUAAGGGUUUUUUUUGGGUAUUUGUUUAAUUGGAUUAAAAAUGUAUUUGGGCUGUUUUAAUUUAGUUUAUUUUGUGUUUAUUGUUUUUUUGAUUUUUUGGUAUAAGCCCGGACAAAAAUUGGGCCUUACAGAUUUAUCCGCAUUAUUGUUUAGCAGUAAAUCUGCGCCUCGGAGUAUUGUUGGAGUACUGGCGACUUACCGUAAUUUACUGACAACUUGUCUGGAAACUAUUGGCAGUUUAACUGUAUAUUGAUAUUGGUGGUUUGUCCACAUUGAACUUCGACUCUUAUUGUUUUGGUGUUCGAAUGAUGGGUUCUGGGGAACCUGUGGUGUGUAGCGGAUGGAUAGGUAAGGUCUUUGCACUGAUUCAUAUGAGUAUGCCCAUGCAUAUAAAAAUUUGUUUUUCAUAUGGUGUCAUGCUUCAUUGUAAAUUUUGACUGUUUGAGGUUGUUAAUACUACUUAUUUUGUUAAGACUCACGUUGAGUUUUCAAGCUCACCCUUUUAGCUUACUCCUUAUAGAUAACCUUUAACAUUAGGAUCAGGCUCUGCAUUUAGAGGUCUCGUCUCAAAUCUAUAGUUAAUAAAGUAUUUUAAUUUUUUUAUUUAUUUUGAUUUUUAUUUCGAGACUAUAAGUUUUGUUAAUAUGGACAGUGGAACGGGUUGCUUUUAUUUGGUUAUUGCACGCAUGGAAUUUUGGAUAAAAAUCGAACAAAUUUGAUAACCGGCUUAAUAUGGCUUAAAACACAGUUUUUUGAGUAAAAAUUAAAGGCGUCACUUUUUUCACUGUGAAGUUUUUAAAGGCAUAAUGAUGGAAUUAAUAGAGUUUUCCAAACGACAGACGACCUAAUAAUCUAAUAUUUUUAAUAAACCUAAGGCAACCACGCUAAGUUUAUAAAAAUUGAUCAAAAUAGGGGUUUUCAAACUAAAUGGAUUUACUUGAUCAUUUUGAUGGCUAAUGUAGCAUUCAAAAUUCAGUCGUAAUGUCUAGACACUACUGGACUUUCCAAAAUCACUUGACUUUCAAUACAUACUACUUGUAUCUUGACUAACUGAUUAAUUAUUAAAAGCUAUUAAAUCAUGACUCAAUAUUAUACUAUAUUUAACUCAUAAUUAUUAAUUAAAUAUAUUUAUAGACUCUCUUGUCGGACUUGUGGUUUCGAAACCACUAUUUUCGAUAUUGGGAAAUGUGCCCAUAUUGUAGUAAACAUGUAAUUAUUUUUUAUGUAUUUAAACGAUAAAUAAAUAAAUAUCACAUUUCACUGUUAUGUCUUUUGUAUUUUUAUUUUUCAUAUUUUGCGUGUAUAGCGAAAUUGUGACAAACAAAUAUUAAUUUAUUGAUUGUCUAAGUUUAAAUUGACGAUAAGUGACAUUGUAAAAAUAUUUACAUUGUGUGCAAUACAAAUUACUUCAGUAGAUAAUCUAAACGAUUUUAUAAUCCUGUAAAAGAAUCAAAAUCAAAGUGAGCAUUUGAUUUAGAUAUUGAGAAUUAUUAUUAUGUUGUCUACAAUUCCAAUUGAGGAGAUGACAAAUCUUGGCUAUCGGAGCAGUUAACUCCAUAGGUAGAGAUAUAGAUGUAUUCAUUGACAAAAUAAUACAUUGAACUGAACCCAAUAUGAAUUAAUUCUGAAUCCGUUUGUAAAUUAAUUCAUUUGUGACAUUCAUGGUGUGAUUUAUCUAAAUCCCGAGUUAGUCACUGAACAUGCGUAUGUAAUUCAUAUGCUUUGAUAUAAGUGAAGGCUUAUACUCUAAAGAUGAUCGAGCCAAUAGUCGAUAUGUUGGGUACAUGACUUGCGUAUGACAUGACUUUACUAGUACCAGUGGAAUUCAUAGCUCAAUUAAAGAGUUAACAAUAUUCUCUCAUUGGCAUUGUGUAGAUUGAUAAAUUAAUAUGGAACGUGACCAAGGAUUGUUUGUUUUCAAACGAGCAAUUUAUCAGUGUCAUUUGUUGACAAUGAUCAUAUUAAUCAUUAAGAAGACACAAUGGUGACAAUGAGAUAAAAUAGGAUUGUAUUAAGUGAACGGAUUUAACUUAAAGGAAUCAAAGAUUUCAUAUGAGGGUAACACACAUAACGAUGUCAUUUGACAAAAUAGUCGGAUGAAUUAUUUUUGUAAAGAGUAUACAAUAAGGAGUUUUCAAUCAUGGUACUUCUUGUAGACUAAUUUCAUGAUUAAGUAAUUGCAAAUUAUCAGAACGAUGCUUCUGGACAUAAUUGCAAUUACUAGAGUCUAAUUGUAUAUGUCUAAUUGGUCCCUCCACUAGCUUAAUAAAAGCUCGAUUGGACUACAUUUGAAUUAUAAGUAAACUCUACAACUUUAGAAACAAUUUAAUUGAUUCGAUUUAUUCGAUGUGAAAUUAAAUUGGGCGGUCAUAAGAAUUGUUCAACUAAAAAAUUUGAUUAAAGAAUUCUUUUUGAAAAUUUAAUUUGGAAAAUCUAAGUGAUUUUUGGGAAAAUUAAUUUCGAUAAAGUAAAAUUAAAUUAAUUAAAAUUAAUAUGAUAUUUUUGGAAGUCAAUUUUCAAGUAAGACAAUUGGCCUAAUGGGUAAUUGAAUUUGAAAAUUGCAUCUGAGAUCAUAAAUUGGGCUCGGGAGCCCAAAAUCGAGAUUAAUACCCAAAAAUUGGUUGAACCGGGCUAGGUAUGUGAAACUAGACCGACGAUCCAACCGGUGGCUGGACUGGACCGAUUAGGCCGUCAAUGGCCUGGACUGAACCAAUGGAAACUAAACCAGCUUGGGGUGUCAGCAACUGCGACGGUGGCAUUCCGAUUGUCGAAAAAUGGUCGGUAGAGGUGGGUAUUCGGGGAUUGAGUAAUGGAAGAAUUACACUCUUACUAGGACUUUACCAAAGAAUUUAUUUUAGAUUAACUAUUUCAAAAUAAUAUUAUUUUAAUAAAUUUAAUAUUAAAUUUAAUUUAAUACUUAUCUUAAUAGUAUUUUAUUAAUUUAAUAUUAAAGUGAUUAUCUCAAUAUUAAAUUAAAUUUAAUGUUUAUCUUAUAGAUAAAUAUAUAUUUAUCAAGAUAAAUAUUAUAUUAAAUUUAAUAUUAAAGCGAUUAAGUUUAAUUAUAGUUGAACUCUCUAAACUCUCCCUAUAUAAAGAGAGAUUGAAAAAUAACCCCACCGGUAAAUUUUAUGAAAAAAUUUCUAACUCGAUUGAAGCGUUCAUUCUAGAUAAAUCGAAAAGGUACAAUUUUAAUUAAGUGUUUAUUAUUUUAGAUAUCACAAUCAAGUUCUUGUUUUGAAAAAAAAUUUAAACUCUGAUUUUUCCCUAAAUUUACUUUCCGUUGCGUUUUUCAAACUUAAUUUUCCAACAUUCGACACCAUUGAAAAAUGGAUUGUUACACCAUUAUGACUCACAAAACAUAAUGAAACAUUACAGAGAUUUAGUUGAGUUGAAUUGUGAGAUAUGGGUCCUAUUAACACACCUCGUUUGAUCCGAAACCUAAUCGUCACUGGACUUUGUUGCUUGUUAUCCGCCUUCACCUCUCUUUCAACCUUCUGCAUUCUAGUCACAUAUUCAGCCUCGUUCAAUUAACUGAGUAUAAAAACAAUAUUAAUUUCUCAUCUCCAAAUAUAUAAAGUAUUCAAAUUAAACAUAUUAAACACAUUUUUAAUAUUUUAUAAUUCUAAUGUUUGAAAUUCUUGUAUUUUACAAUUUACUCGAUUCAAUCUAAAUUCAACUUCACAUUCACACUCUAAAAACCUCAAACUAGUAAUAUAAAAUGUUUUCCUUCAAAGUUUUCAUUCUCUCUCUCACAAACCUAAAGCAUCCAGUAAUGGUUUUUGACCAAAAUUUUAACAAUACAAAUAUUGAAUGGUUGAGCUAUGCUUAUCUAAUAUCUUAGAUUAAUAACUUAACAAAAAUCAAAAUAAAAAGUCUCAAAUACAUAAACCAUGCCAUGCAAACUUACUCCAUCUUGCUUUAUGCUCCCCUUAUUUGUUUACCUCAAGUUUAUUUAAGGGGACGGGAUGUUACCUUUACAAUAACAAGGAUUGUAGCUCAUGAAACAACAAGUAUCUUUUCCAUGAAAUGGACUAUGUUUGAUCUUCGAAAUAUCUUUAAUAUCAUUAAAAUGUGUUGCAAUCUCAUGUUACAUUCCUAGUUCAUUUCACUCAACUAGCUUUUUGGUCUGACUUACUUCCUCCUCCAAUCAGGUCCUUAACUCCUUUAUUGACUUUACCCCUAAGUCUUUACUCGUGAUCGUGACACCCUUUCAUUCCCCUCUUUCUUUCUACCCAUCUCAUCAAUUUUGCAGUUUUGAUUUUUAUCUCAAUUCUUUUAAUUUUAUUUUAAAAUUUUUAUCAAUUGACUUUUAACUCAAUUGACAUGGACAUUGUUGUCAAUACAGGAGGAUGUGGGUUCAAAUUAUGGAUUAGGGAGGGGUUAUUGGUAAUUCUGAGCAUUAUGUCAGAAAAAUAAUAUAAUCAAAACCUGAUGAGAUAGUUCGAAAAAAAUAAAAUUAAAAACUUGUAAAGUAAAAUAAAUUUUUUUAUACAUGUAAUAUUUUAAUUUGAGUUAUUAACAUAUAUUUUUUUCUAAAUAUUUAAUUGAAUCUUGAAGAAUUUAUUGGAUAAAAUCAAAAAUAAAUUAAGUAUUGAAUUUUUUUUAAUGAGAAAGAGUUGUUCAAGUUUGAAUCUGAAGCCUGGUGUUAACUACAAGUCAUCUACCAUUAGAUCUAAGGAUGAAGUCAGAAAUUUUUUCAGUAACAUCAUAAUUAAAUUAAAGAAUUUUGAAGGGGAUAAAGUUCAAUUUUAUUAUUAUAAUUUUGAAAAUUUGAAAGGAUUUAGGUUAUUGGCUUUCACUGUCCCUGACUACGCUAGUUGUGAGAGAGUUUUCUUUCAUAUCUAAUGCCUUUAGAUUAGCAUUAUAUACGUUUGAAUUUUCAUUAAAUGUGUUGUAUAAACCUCCUUAAUCUUUAAUUUAUUUCUUGUAAAUUAUAAAUAAAUACCGACCAACAAUGUUUCUCUUCUGUACUCAUAAACAAGCUCAUAUUUUUAUUUAAUUUAUCAUUUAACUCAUCUUUUAGACUUUCCACCUCCAGAGACAUAUUAAGUUACGGGUUAAUAUAUUAUUUAAUAUUUGAAUUUAGUUUUAAUAUUAAUUAAAUAUUUAAGGAUUUUUAUCUUAAUUCGAUACCUAAGUUUGAUUUUAAUAAUCAAUUUGGUACUUUGAUCAAAUAACAUCACGUGUCUUAAUGAAUAUUUGAAACGUAUGUUCUAAUAAAAAUAUAUAUGUACUUAAUUUGGACAAAAAAAUUUAGUACCAAAUUGGAUAUUAAAAUUAAACUCAAGUACUUAAAUGUAACAAAAAUGAACUCAAGUACUAACUAAAUAUUGAAGCCAAACUCCAGUAUUAAGUUGAACAUUAAUACAAAACUCAAGUACCAAACAGUGUUUUUAAUAUUUUUUUUUGCUAGAAAUGGUAAAAAUCUUACUCCCACCAAAGAUUUUUAGUAUAAAUUUUUUAUUCCCACACUUUGAACAUAAAAUAUUUUACUCUGGUUGCCACAAACUCAAAAAUCAAAAUACAGGUCCGGACCAAAUUUAUGCAUUUGAGUAAUACUAGAAGAAGCAUUCAUUUCAUAUUCUUGAGUGCCAAAAUUACUAAUUCCUACACCAUUUGGCUUCAAAAAUGGCCAGUCCUUGCUGCACUCAACCGCAGCCUGCAUCAGGUUGGCUUGUUUCCCUACAUUCCUCUUCAGCUCCUCCAUCGCAUUUCUCAACUGUUGAAGCUCACUCAACCCGAGUUCAUGGAUGGGGGCUUGCCACCAGCAUUGCCUUCGACCAGCUUCCCUUUCUUCAUCAAGUGCUUGGCCCUUCCUUUUCUCACCUUCCAACAUCUCAAGAAGAUGAGCUAUUUGUGCAUUAAGCUCACGGAUGUUAGCAUUUGGAUGAGCUUCGACAAUGUCAUAAUGCACGCUGGAAGUGUUUCGAGUGAGAAACCGAUGGACGGCGGAUUCGACAUUAGGGUGGCCAAAAGAGAAGACCUUGCCUGCAGGGGAGAACACUAUGAUUGCGAUAUCUACUCCACAAAGGGUGCAGAGUUCACUAGCCUUUUUAAAAAGCUCCGCACGGCGUUUAGAGAAGGUUACUUGAAGAUUAUUUUUCUUUGCUAUCUUUUUCAUGGUGAUCUUUUGGCGACCCUGGAUUGCAUUCUUCUGCACCAUUUCGGGAAAGAAUAUUAAACAAAAAUCAAAGAACUAUAUAUGUAAAAAUGAAAACAGUGAAUUGAAGUUGUUUAGGUUUGCGAGAAAUGUAUGGGAUAUUUAUAGAGUCGUUCCAUUUAUUUCUUGAAUUAAAUCCAUGAUUUGCAAGUUAUCUGAAAAUCGAUUGAAUUACAAUGAAAAGCAAUUAUGUAUUUGGUUGGCAAAUGGUUUUACAGUAAAAUCUUAAGCAUUUUUCAUUAUCAUUUACUUGUUAACUGUUCCCCCAACAAUUACAUGAUCACAAUCAAGACUUAAUUAUCCGAAACCCCCUUUUUUAAACGAAUCCAUUUAUUGAGAAAAGGAUGAUAUUUAAAGAUUUAUUACCAUCAAAGUAAACUCUUGAUUUGAUUUUAAUCCCAGAUCUUGGGAGUUAAUCAAAAUCCUGGCUUUCAUUUGGACCUAACAACCUGUAUAUUGGUUGGCAGUGUGAGAGACCUGAAGAAGUAUGAGAGGCAGAGCUCCUUUUUUUAUUUAUUUAUCAUAAUUAGCCUUUAACAAUAUCAUUAAGAAACCCUUUAAUAUAAUAGAUAGGAGAUCUAUUACAUCAGUUUUCAUCAAAAUAGUAAUAAUACAAAUAUUAGUAAUCUAAUUCACUUUUUUCAUUAAUUAUCAAAAUAGAACCCUUUUUUUUUGGCAAACCAACGUUGGUUUAUCUUUCAUAUUUUCAACUACUACCCAAGAGGCGCCACCCCAAAUACCUUCCUAGCAAUUAUUUGGAGUAGUGUUGUGUUUAGGAACCAAGGUGCAUAUGGUUUUGUAGAUAACACCCCCACUAAUCCCACCAUAUAAAUAUAUUAAUUGACUUUUGUUAAAAUAAAAUUAUUAAAAUAUCCUUGAAAAGUAUAACUUAUUCUAAUUUUAAAAAAAAGGAUUUAUGUAAUUUUCUAAUUAAAUUAGUGACCAAUUAAGCAAAACUCUUAAAUAAUAGUAUAGAUAUUCCUCUUUUCUUAUAAAAUUAUUAUCAUCAUUAUUAUACCAAAUGUUUGAAUUUGAGAAAGAGGUUCAAAACCUCUUUCAAUAAUAAGGCUGAAACCAGCCUCUUUUGAAGAAGUGAGCAUAUAUUACAUAAAAUUACUGCAUUUGUGUAGGGGUACAUUACAUUUCUCUUACCAAUUACAUAUCCUAAUGGCUAAUACUUUGUAAGUUAGGGGCAAAGCCAAAAAAAAAAGAAGAAGGUAGGCUGGACUUUCACCCUUUUUAGUUAAAUGAAAAAUAUAUAUUUUUGGUUUUCUUUUUAAUUAAUAAUUUAAUUUAACUUUAUUUAGCGCAAAAUAUUUAAUUUCAGUUAUUCAAAAUAUUAUAGUUUCUUUUUCCAAAUAAAAUGUUAUCCUUUUACAAUAGGUAUAAAGUAAUAUUUCCUCCUUACAAUAGAGAUUAAAAUUGAGAAAGCUUCCAAAUUUUAAAAUUAAUAUGGACAAAAAUAAAAUUUCAUGGGCCAAAUUUAAAAAAAUAAAUUCAAGAACUAAAUCUUACCUUACCAAUAAUCAAUUUAACCUUUAAAAUUUUGUUAAACCUCUAUCAAUAGAAAUAACUAAAAUUUCUUGAUCAACAAUAUUUAAUCAAACAUUUUAAGAAACGGAUAGAGUAAUACUAUAACAUUCGAGAAAUAAAAUUUUAACCUAUUGACUUAGGGUGGGUUUGGGACGAUGGUGCGGUUCGUUUAGCUUACUUUUUGUCUCAUCUUACAGUAUCGCUACAAUAUCUAAUCUCACCGUCACCGCUAUUUUUACACUAACCGCAGGUAAACGUACCGCCCAUCCAAACUCACCCUUACUGACAAGAGCAUUUGUGUUGUGACAUGAAAGUUUGGGUUUAACUCUUAGCUCCACCUUUAUCCUCAAUUAUAAAAAAUAUUGAAGUAAAAGGUAAAAGUAUCAUAGAGGCCUUGUACUAGAAGUUUUUUUUUUUAAAUCAUCAUUUUACUCUUUGAUCUAAUGUAUAAUGAAAUCAAAAUGCAAUUAUCAAGUAGGAAUAAAAUUAUUGAAUUUUGAAAAGAAAAAGUACGAGGGCUUUUUAAUAUAUAUAUAUAUACUGGCUCAUAUUUAUUUGAUCAAAGAUUGUGCUCACAGUAACAAGCAGAGGCAAAAAUUUAACAUUAACAAGAUAGAUGAGAUAUAAUUAUUUUGGGGAACCUCUUUACCAUCUGCAUACAUCAAACUCAGUAGCCAGCUCAAGAUUGCGCUGUUGCUAAAGUUUGUUAAGUUAGAUAAGAUUUACACCUUUUUGCAUGCCUCCUUUUAUCUCCGUCCCCAUCAUCAAUGUCCUGCACUUGAAUUGUGUUUUGUCACAAGAUCAUGUAGCAUUGAAACAGGGAACCUGGUGUUUUAUAUUCAUGCUUCAGUUGGUCUAUAAUGAACGUUUCAUUUCCUCUUUAUGAAGGCUAAACAAUGGCAAGGUUGCCUCACCAGACUGCUGCUGCUUCUUCAGGGUUGAGAUAUUACCAAUAUCUGUCAGGGGCGAGCGUCUGCAUGUCUGGGGCUUUCGUCUUCCAUCCUUGGGAUUAGGAUCGUCUUCCUUCAACCGACACACAAGCACUCUCUUCUCUGUUUCAUUUUGUGCUUCUAAUUGAUUGAUUGGUGAUGCAAUUUGGGGCCUCACUGAUUUUCUAUCUCUGCCUUGCCUCAAUCUCUCCAUUUCCUGACGAAGCACAUAUAUUUGUGUCUCUAACUCCUCAGCUUUGGCUUCCGAUGACAUAGCUCUCUGUCUCCAUUCUUUCACCUAAUCAAACCAACCAUUACAUUAUUAAGUACAUAUUUUUAUAUAUAUAGUUCCAGGGAUUAAGUAGCUAAUUAUGAAAUAAGUCUUACAGCAGAUUGCAGGGAUUGAAUCUGAUUCUCAGAAUCAAGUGCUCGAUCUUCCCAAAAAUCACGAGAUGCAUGAAGUUCUUCCAUCUCAUCCCUUACCAGCCCCAACAUGUCUUGCAUCUGGGACCAUUGUUCUGUCUCACCACGAAUUUGCUCUACCACCCUCUCCACUAUAGCCUUGCAAUGUCCUGAACACACUCUUGGCUCAUGCCCAAUUUUCUCCUCCUGCAUAACCCAUUACAACUCUUUUGUUUUAUUAAAAUACAAAAACAAAAACUAUUCUGCUUGUGCUGUUAAACACAGUGAUGAUCCAAGGAAUUUACUUUGUUUGAUUGCUGUAAAGAUGAAGAAGAUGACAAAUUAGAAGUGAAGAGCAGGGAACCAUAUUCCUCCUCCAUGCUCUCUAGUAAUCCAUCCAUCUUUCUUCUCAAACUCUCCACCUGCAAGUUCGGUUUUUUAAGUGAAAAAUUCCCGAUCCAAUAAAUUAACAGAUAAGAGAUUGAUUAUUGUUUUACAUUGCGGUUAUGAUGAUGUGAAGUAGAAGCAAAGCUGCCACUCCCUUCAUUGCUGAUUUUGAUUGACAAGCUUGCUUCAGCCAUCUCUCGGAUCUCUUUCACACAUAUUUCUUCAUCAGAUAAUCCUCCAAACCCAAAUUUCUGUAGCUGCCUUUGGAGUAAACAUACAUGCUUAUCAAAGUUACUGCAUUUUUUAACCUCUAACUCUUUCACACCUGUUCUCUUUUGCAGUUUCUCUAUUUUCUCCACCAAAUCAUUGAUCUGCUCCUCCAACAACACCAAGUUCACAUCCUUCCCUUCACAAAUGUUCUUCCUUCCCUGUAAACCAAUUCCCAAACCCAAUGUCAUUGAAUUGCUUGCGGAACAGUAAAAACAAAGGAAACAUUAUUAUUCAAUGCCUCAUCUUUAUCUGUUACUUUAAACAAGUCAAAAAGCCAAAUUUGAUACUGUACAUUUAGUCAUCAAGCAAAUGAAGACAAGCAACAACAAAAAAAGCACACAGUAUCAAACAAAAACAAUAAAUAAAUAUGUGAUCUGGAUAAGAAAUCAACAGUGACAUGCCUAUAUCUGACAUUCUGAGGUUCAGGUUAAUUAAACGCAAAUGUCUGUUUUCAAUGAGCAUCUUUCGUCUUCCCCCACAUUCUAUCAACAGCACCAACCUAACAAAAAAUCCCCCCUGAAAUCCCAGAACCUGUACUAGACAAGUUUUUUGUCGCUUGAGCUUAAUUAUAGUCAACUUUCCCUAGUUCGUUCCACAUGAUUAGAAAUCUAAAGACCUAACUUUCUUUUCUUCUCCUAAACUGAUAAAUAUUUUCUCGAGAACCAAACAACAAUGAUGAUGAUGAUGAUGAUGAUAACGAAACAUAGAGAAAAAAGAAGAGAGAAAAGAAACCAACAGAAAGCAAAAUUUCAAGGGCAGAUUUCAGGGUCCGCUCCAUAUGAACUCUCCUUCUCUCCAUUUUCUUAAUGGCAAUCUUUCUUUCCAUCCUCAACAAGUUACAUUCCGCUCUCAACAUCUCAGCUUGGAACCUCCAUUUCUCUUCUUCAACAAAGACGACACUGUUAUGAGUAUUUCCUCUCUUCUCUUCCUCCUCCACUCUCCCUCUUCUCCUCUCCUCCUCACUCUCCCUUGGAGUCAGAAGCAUCACUGGAACAGCCCCACUUGCAAAAGACCUCUCUUGAUCAAAAAAUCUCUCCAGCACCCCUUUUCUGUCUUUCUGCCAAGUGGGUUGCUUCGAAGGACCGGGCUUUGGUGCUUUCCUUCUAGGGCGGCGUGGCAAAUGAAGGAUUCUUGGUGUUGGCUGCGCUGGAGGGUAUUGCCAUUUUGCUCUCCUUGUUAUACUUGUUCCCAUUGAUAUCCUCUCCAUGCAACAAAAACUCUUACUGCUUCUUCUUGCUUGGUUUUGAAACAGCUGAGCUCUCCGUUUACUAUAAGUGGUGGCUUCAAUGCCUUUACUGCCUACUCAUAUAAUAACUCUUUAAAAUUUUUUUUUUCUCGAGAGGUGAUUUUGAAAAUUUAAGAGCUUUUCUGUAAUUGGGUACUCGGUUUUAGUUAGAGCCAGUGUUCUGUUAAUGUGACUGUCUUCUUUAUUUUGUCUGAAAAAACGAAUAAAAAAUUAAAUAAAAAAAACCAGAAGCUGUUUUGUCCUUUUAAGAGGGUUUUGGUUUUACAUUAGGGAAAAUGACAGUGUGGUAUAGUAGACAUGGAAACUUAGAAACACAACCGUGAAUUUUUUGGACUUUUUAACAGAAAUUUUUGUACCUUUUUUACUAAAUUUUUUCAAAGUUGUAUAUUUAGCUAGUGUCAUUUUAAGUAAAUAAUAUCGAAAAAAUAUAAAAUUAAAUUCAAGUAAUAAUAGUAAGUAGAUGGAAGAAAUAAAAUAUAGGUGGGGUAUGAGUAACUUAGGUGUGGGGGGGGGGUGGUUAGCAAAACAACCAAAAAUAAAAUAUAAUUAAUAAGAUUUAAAAAUUGAAAUUGCAACGGUAAGUUUAGAUUAGAGGAGAGAUCAGAGAUAGGAAAACAAAACUGGUGUAUGUUAUAAGUUUGAUUAGGUCUAGGUAAUAAUGACAUGGAAUAUAAGAUACAGACAAAAAAUGAAAAACCCAAACCCAAGACAAAGUAAAAUGAAAUUGGGAAAGGGAAAACAAAACCAUUUAAAAAUCCCUUCUUUUUUUAAAUUUUUAUUAAAUUCAAAAACGUAUGCAUGGUAGUGAUAUUGAUGAAGGUGAUCAACCUUAGGUUCAAUAAUUAUGAUCAAAUUAUUGGAAACAUGUUAAAUGGUGUAUAGAAUAGAUGAUAUUAAGUUUUAAUAAUAAUAAAAUGAAAAAAAAAAAAAAAGAGACAAAGAGAGCAGGCGUGCAACCUCGUUAAGAGGAAGGAACAGGAAUUUUUCAAAUGAAAGCUGUAUGUUGUUUGUGUUUGUUGCUUCCUCUUUUGGUCCGGUGUUUGUGUUGAUGUUUUUUUUUUUUGGGUAUUUAUUUCCUUGGCCCUUGUUCUUUUCUUUUUAUGGGAAUCUGAGUCUCUCUCUCCCUCACCCAUUGGUACUUUCUUAAUUUCUUUUCAUUUUCUUAAACCAAACAAAUCUAACCCUAAUUAUUAUGUGGUGGGCAUAUUUAUUUCCUAUUUUUGCGUAAAACCAAUCCAGCCAUUUUAUUGCCAAGGCUACAUGUGCUUUCAAUUUUCAAAUUCUUUCUUUCUAAUAUAAUACAUUUUCCCCUUUUUUUUUUUCUUAUUUUAACUCAACUCCUACAAUUUUUAUCAUUCAAAUUUGAAUUUUAUUAUGUGUAUUUAUACAUGUGACGAUUCAAAUUUUAUUUUAAUUUUAAAUCUCAUUGCAUAUAUGCUCUGUUCGAAUAUAUUUUAAUUAUUACUCAAUUUGGUUAAGCGGUAUUUAAGUAUGGUUGUAGUUAUACAAAUGUAUUAAUUGUGUUAUUAUAAUAGUUAUAUAUAAUGGGGAAUAUUUUUUUAUUUUGUUUUUGCUUAUUUAAAUUUCAAAAAUAAAUGUUUAACUUGUACGCUAAUUAAGCAAAUUAAUAGUAGCGUACCAUGAAUUCAUGCAUCAAAGUGAGUUUUCUAUUUUAAUAUUUUGAACCAAAUUGCAUUUAUUUUUUUAGAUGAUUUUAAAAAUUGAGGACCAUUUUUUGUUUCAGUGACAAUGGGGUAGAUCUAACAUUAAAUUUUUUUUGAUAGCUUAUUUAUUUGAUUGGUUUUUGUUUCUUUUAAUAUCACAACUACCUUCGUUUUCUAAAACUUGUUCAACUUUAGAGAUGUUUGUAAUAUAUAUAUAUCUAAACUCUAUUUUCAAUUUUAUGUCGGUUGUUAUGGAAGAAUCGUAAUCAUUAUGUUUUCUCUAAAGGCAACAUUAGUAUACAAGAUGUGUUGGAUACAGGUUUGGCAUGGGCAAGGGAUUGUGAUACAUCCAGGUCAUGAGUUACAGUCAAGUCCUAUGGUGACAAUGUCUCAUUGGUCUCCACUAGAGAGUGGAUCGUUCAAACUUAACAUUAAUGGGGCAAUAUCAUUAACUAAUCAAUAGGCAACAAUCGGAGGUGUUUUCAGAGAUGCAGAUGCGAACCGAUAUGUGACUUUUCUAUGGGAAUGGGUAAGAAUAAUAUUUUCAAAAUGGAAGGGAGAGCUAUGCUAGAGGGUUUGCGUGUUGCAUGGGGGAGAAGAUUGGGACAGGUUGAGAUCGAAUGUGAUAAUGCACUUCUAGUUGAAUCAUUGUUGACCAAUGGAUAUGCCAAUAGCAAAAUGGUGGGGCUACUUUUGAUUCAUAGUAUCCUUAAUCGUGAAUGGAAGGUGCGCAUUCACCAUGUUCCUAGAUUCCAAAACAUGGUUGCUGAUCAUAUGACAAGACUUGCGAUUUCUAGUCUUCCAAGUUUAGUCGUUUUUGAAGAACCUUCAAUUUCAGUCCAAGGACUUCUAUUAGCUGAUAAAAGGAGCUUUCAUAGGUCCUAAGAUGUCUCUUUUUCUUUUUUCUUUUUUUUUUUUGUAAUUGCUUUAUGUUGUUAUUUUGUACCCAAAAAAAUACAUCUUUCCGUAAAAGUAUAAUGUCAAAUUUAACCCUUAACGUUUAUAUAUUAUGUCAAUUUGAUUGUGUUCUUUUUUUAGCAAAAUCUGAUCAUCAACUUUUUUAAAAAAAAAUCAAAUUCGAUCUCAAAAAUAGUUGAAUUAUUUUUUUAACAAAAAUAUGAACUAAAACAUUAAAUUUUUAAACAUGAUAGCUUGCAUGGCCAUCCAAAUGUAUUUCAUGCUAAUUUUUUUUCUAAUUUUAAAAUUUUUUAUUGGCAUGACAUAUAAAAUAAAUAAUAUUAUGUUAAUAUAAAGUACGUAUGGACUACCACACAGAUUACCACGUCAAUAUCGUUAAAAGUUAAUGCUUUAGUCAAAAUCUUCGUUAAAAAAAUUAUUUAACUCUUUUUGAAUGAUUAAAGGUCAAAUUUAACCAAAAUAUAAGAUUUAAAUUCACAAAAAAUAUACAUUAAGAACUAAAUUUGAUAUUAUACCUUUCACAAAUAUAUUUUAAAUGUCAAAAAGAAAUAAAAAAAUUCCAUAAAAGUUAUUUGACAAUAAAAUUUUAAAAUGAAAACUUGUAAUUAAAUACAAGUUGAAAAAUUCAAAAUAUAUUAAGGUGAGAAUAGUACAGUAUGAAGUCUCGAAAUUUUGAAUAGAAAAAAGAUUUUUGUUUUUCCAAGUCUCAAACUUGAUCGAGAGAGGUCCAAGUGGAUAUAGUGGGACUUGUUUUACUAUUUAAUAAAAAAUAAUGGAAAAAUCCAAGACGGAACCCGUCGUCUACUGCAAACAGAAUCACAAAUGAAUUCAAAAUGUUAGAAGAGUUAGAGUAGAAUAGUAAAUGGUACAAUAAUAUAAAACGGAAGUCAGCUCACACAAAACAAGGCAGUGAGUGAGAACUGAACUCAGCUGACUCAUACUGUUAUUAUACAUGAUUUAACAACCCAUCCCCCCCCCCCCCCCUUAAUAAGGUGGUCCGUCCCGUUAUUCUAUGCUCUUUUUAUAUAAUACAAUCACGUACAAACUACACUAUCAGUGAUAGAUGAACUUUGAGUUAAACUACAAUUAUUCCAAACAUACUACAAUAUCAUGGAGAUGAAUUUUGAAUUCUUAUGGUAUAAUCUAUAACUUAUAUUUGCUUUAAAAUUAAAUUGCUUUCUUUUUGUAUUAUAUAUAAAAUUAGAUUUUGAAACCACCAAUUCUUGAUUCAAUAUGAUAUGACUAUGUUUUGUGAAGUUAAUGGUAGAACCUCGAGCCCUCUAUAAAAUGUGACAUGCGAAGAUUUUAACUAGAUCCUAAUGUAAUCUAGUGGCGACCCAUGUGAAAUCACAUGAGAAUUUUCAAUUGGCUAGCCCUUUUUUAGUCAAAGUGGCUGAAUUGGCAAAGUCCUUAUCCAAGGUAGUUAACAGGUGCAACACAUUGUUGUUGGCAAGCUUGAAAAGACAAACAAAAAGCCUGAAAAAGUGAGCUUGUAAAGAUGAAGCUUAAACAUGCAAAUGGAUUAAAACAUGAUUUUGGAAAAAGAGAUAUACUGUUUGCAUAGUUUCUUACACUUAAAAAACUUUCAAAAUUACUUAUUCUAAGACUGCUUACUAAAGAGUCCCUUGAGACACGUGCAAUAUGUGCGAUGUAACUAGUUCAUUGCAUCUCACAUUCAUACAACUUUGCACUAAUGAAGGUGCAACAUGUCAUAAUCUUAUUAGGGAUUGGAACAAUGUGUUAAUGAUGGUUUUUUUUUUCAUGUAUUGAUUGGCUUUGGUUCUCGUGUUCAUUCAAACUUUCUAAGAACAAUUCAUAAACGAGGGUUUCUACUUCCAUCCACUUGGUAAAAUAUUUAAUCACCACCACAAUAAACUCAUUCUACACUUUCACCAUUAAAAAAAGACAUAGAAUACCUGUUAACAUUAUGAUUAAUGGCAGACAAUUUUAAUGGAAAACAAUCCAAGUGGUGCAAGUUUAGCACCCUAAAGUUGACUUUGAAAAAGUGGCAUGGGAUAAUUUUUUUUGGUCCUUGAGAUAAUGGGCUAUUUAUUGUUUGGUCCUUAAACCUCAACUAUAAAUAGGCCUUCUCAUUUCUCAUUUCAAUUCAUCCCAACCAACCUUUCUCUCUUAGUUUUCUCUCUUCUCCCAUUUGAGAAUUCUUAAGGAAUUCUAUUUGUUUGUAAUACUUUGGAGAUAGUAAAGUUAUCAUCUGGUGUUAGUGCCCGAGGACGUAGGUAUAAUUUACCGAACCUCGUUAAAUCUCUUGUGUUCUUUCUUGUCCUAUUUUUCUUUCAAUAUUUGAGGGUAUAAUAGUAGUAUUUAAUUGUGCUAUUAAAUUACUAUAGAAGGGAUAUUCUGUCUAAGGAAAGACUUGGUAUUUAAGAGAUCCACGUGAUUCACCUCUUUUCCCUGGGAAUUGAACUUUGUGUGAUUUUUUAGUACAAUAAUUUACACGCUUCCGACCCUAUUGGAACAACAAGUGGUAUCAAGAGCCGAAGGUUAAUCGUAGUAUGCUCUGUGGUUGCAGUUUGAACUGAUCUUCCACAUCAGAAAAGAUUUCCUUAGGUAUAUUGAAAGAUUAUGGAGAAAACGGUCGGUGUAGGAGCUUCAACAUCGUCCAUGUGGACAAGACCGACAAUUGCAAAUGCAAGACUGGCCGUGGAGAUCUUUGAUGGCACGGGCCAUUUUGGUAUGUGGCAAAGUGAGGUUCUAGAUGCCCUUUUUCAGCAGGGUCUAGACAUUGCCAUUGAUGAAGAGAAACCAGAUGAUGUACAGGAGAAAGAUUGAAAGGCGAUCAAUCGGUUGGCAUGUGGCACAAUUCGAUCAUGCCUUUCUCGAGAGCAGAGGUAUGCUUUUUCAAAGGAGACUUCUGCAAAUAAGUUGUGGGUGGCACUUGAAGAAAAUUUUUUGAAGAAAAACAGUCAAAAUAAGCUCCACUUGAAGAAAAGACUGUUUCGCUUCACAUACGUCCCAAGUACCACAAUGAAUGAUCACAUCACCAAAUUUAAUCAGUUAGUCACUGAUUUGCUGAAUAUGGAUGAGACAUUCAAAGAUGAAGAUUUGGCUUUGAUGCUGUUGGGGUCACUUCCUGAGGAGUUUGAGUUCCUAGAAACUACUCUACUUCAUGGCAGGAGUGAUAUAUCUCUGAGCGAAGUCUGUGCGGCUUUAUACAGUUAUGAACAGAGAAAGAAGGACAAACAGAAAAACUCAAUCAGAGAUACAGAAGCUUUAGUAGUCCGAGGUCGUUCAUACACUCAGAAGAAAACUCAAAAGGGGAGAUCAAAGUCAAAGUCCAGACUCGGGAAAGAUGAAUGUGCUUUUUGUCAUGAGAAAGGCCACUGGAAGAAAAAUUGUCCAAAGCUGAAGAAUAAGGGAAAAGCUGCUGUAGAUGCUUGUGUUGCAAAGCAUGAUACCAGUGACUCUGAACUAUCACUGGUUGCAUCAUCAUCGUCGUUCCAUUCAGAUGAGUGGAUAUUGGAUUCGGGUUGUACCUAUCAUAUGUCCCCUAACCGGGAGUGGUUCUUUGAUUUAGUAGAACUAAAUGGAGGAGUUGUUUAUAUGGGCAAUGACAAUGCCUGUAAAACUGUUGGGAUAGGUUCAAUCCAAUUAAAGAAUAAAGAUGGAUCAACCAGAGUUCUGACUGAUGUUCGGUACGUGCCCAGUUUGAAGAAAAAUCUCAUCUCAUUAGGAGCCUUAGAAUCCAAUGGUUCAGUUGUUACUAUGAGAGAUGGGGUUUUGAAAGUGACAUCUGGCGCACUUGUGAUAUUGAAGGGCAUCAGGAAAAAUAACUUGUAUUACUACCAAGGUAGUACAGUUAUUGGAGCAGUCGCUGCAGCUUCCGGCAACAAAGAAUUGGACUCAAUGCAGUUGUGGCAUAUAAAGUUGGGACAUGCCAGCGAAAAAUCCUUGCAAAUUCUGGCAAAGCAAGGAUUGUUGAAAGGUGCAAAGGCUUACGAAUUAAAAUUUUACGAGCAUUGUGUUCUGGGAAAGCAAAAGAGAGUGAAAUUCGGUACUGCUAUCCAUAAUACAAAAGGUAUUUUGGAAUAUGUUCACUCAGAUGUGUGGGGGCCUUCCAAGACACCUUCAUUGGGAGGAAAACACUACUUUGUUACUUUUGUUGAUGACUUUUCCAGAAGAGUUUGGGUGUAUACCAUGAGAACUAAGGAUGAAGUGCUUAGAGUUUUUCUUAAAUGGAAAACUAUGAUCGAAAACCAGACUGGCAAGAAAAUCAAGCGGCUUAGGACGGACAAUGGAGGGGAAUAUAAAAGUGAUCCGUUCUUCGAUGUGUGCCAAGAGUAUGGUAUUGUUCGACACUUCACAGUUAGGGAUACACCACAGCAGAAUGGAUUGGCAGAGCGUAUGAAUCGAACAUUGCUAGAGAAAGCUCGAUGUAUGUUGUCCAAUGCUGGGUUGGGCAAGCAAUUUUGGGCUGAGGCUGUGACAUACGCUGGCCAUCUUGUUAAUCGUUUGCCAUCAUCUGCAUUAGAAAGAAAAACUCCUAUGGAGGUAUGGUCUGGAAAACCGGCUACAGAUUAUGAUUCCUUACAUGUGUUUGGAACCACUGCAUAUUACCAUGUGAAGGACUCAAAGUUAGAUCCGAGGGCAAAGAAAGCUCUCUUUAUGGGAAUCACUUCUAGAGUGAAGGGAUUUCGUCUUUGGUGCUUAAGCACAAAGAAAAUGAUCUGUAGCAGAGAUGUUACCUUUGAUGAAUCUGCCACAUUGAAAAAGGUAGCAGAUAAAGAUAUUCAGACGAGCAAUACUCCACAGCAGGUGGAGUGUACUCCAAAACAGGUGGAGUUUGAGCAGAUGGGGAUUUGCCCAGUUAAUAAGUCUAAUUCUCCAGCCACAAUGGAGGAAUUAGAGGUUGAAGAGGUUCUGACCCAAGAACCACUAAGUACACCAGAACCAGUUGCAGUUGCAAGGCCACGGAGAGAAAUUCGUAAACCUACUCGAUUUACUGAUAUGGUGGCCUACGCCCUUCCCGUUGUUGAUGAUAUUCCUAUCACUUAUCAAGAAGCAAUGCAAAGCUUAGAAAGUGAUAAAUGGAAAAGCGCCAUGGAUGAAGAAAUGCAUUCUCUCCGGAAGAACAAUACUUGGGAGUUGGCGCAAUUACCGAAAGGUAAAAGGGCAAUCGAAUGCAAGUGGGUAUUCGCAAAGAAAGAUGGAUCUCCUAACAAGAAGGAUAUUCGCUACAAGGCAAGAUUGGUAGCUAAAGGCUACGCUCAGAAGGAGGGAAUUGACUACAAUGAUGUAUUUUCCCCUGUUGUGAAGCAUUCCUCCAUUAGAAUUUUGUUGGCCUUGGUAGCACAGUUGAAUUUGGAGCUAGCUCAACUUGAUGUUAAGACGGCUUUCUUGCAUGGUGAGUUAGAAGAGGAGAUCUAUAUGACUCAGCCCGAAGGAUACACAGAUGUUGGUGGUAGAAAUUGGGUUUGUAAGCUUAACAAAUCGCUAUAUGGAUUGAAGCAAUCCCCGAGGCAGUGGUACAAGCGAUUUGAUAGCUUUAUGAGAAGGCAGAAGUACACAAGAAGCAAAUAUGACAAUUGUGUAUAUUUGCAGAAGCUGCAUGACGGAUCUUUCAUUUAUCUACUCUUGUAUGUUGAUGAUAUGUUAAUCGCUUCGAAGAGCCAAAAUGAGAUAGAUAAGCUGAAGGCUCAGUUGAAUCAAGAGUUCGAGAUGAAAGAUCUAGGUGAAGCAAAGAAGAUUCUCGGCAUGGAGAUAAGUAGAGAUAGACCGAGAGGCAAGCUCUGUUUAAAUCAGAAGCAAUAUCUGAAAAAGGUAUUACAAUGUUUUGGUGUAAAUGAAAACACAAAACAUGUAAGUACCCCACUUGCUUCUCAUUUGAAACUUAGUGCUCAAUUAUCUCCGAAGACUAAAGAUGAAAGAGAAUAUAUGGCGAAAGUCCCAUAUGCUAAUGCAGUUGGGAGUUUGAUGUAUGCGAUGGUGUAUACGAGGCCUGACAUUUCAUAAGCUGUUGGAGUUGUGAGCAGGUAUAUGCAUGAUCCUGGAAAAGGACAUUGGCAAGCUGUGAAAUGGAUUCUACGGUAUCUUCGAAAAACCGUAGAUGUUGGUUUAAUUUUUGAACAGGAUGAAGCACUUGGUCAGUUUGUAGUUGGAUAUGUUGAUUCUGACUUUGCUGGUGAUUUAGAUAAACGUCGUUCAACUACGGGGUAUCUGUUUACUCUUGCGAAAGCCCCAGUGAGUUGGAAGUCUACCUUACAGUCUACAGUAGCUGUGUCUACUACAGAGGCAGAAUAUAUGGCAGUUACAGAAGCUGUUAAGGAGGCUAUUUGGCUUAAUGGAUUGUUGAAAGACUUAGGAGUUGUUCAAAGUCACAUAAGUUUAUAUUGUGACAGUCAGAGCGCUAUUCAUUUAGCGAAAAAUCAAGUCUAUCAUUCAAGAACCAAGCAUAUCGACGUAAGAUAUCACUUUGUGCGGGAAGUCUUUGAAAAAGGAAAAAUUCUACUUCAGAAGAUUCCAACAGCAGAUAAUCCCGCAGAUAUGAUGACCAAGGUGGUAACAACAAUCAAGUUUAAUCAUUGUUUGAACUUGAUUAACAUCCUGAGAAUUUGAGCACCUUCAGGUAUAUGGCGCUCGAGAGUGCAUUUGGAGGCACUACAAAAGAUAGCUUUAUCAAAUUUGGGGAGUUGAAGGAAGUGUGUGAAGAUGUGAUUAUCAUAAUCAAAUCUUCAAGGUGGAGAUUGUUAACAUUAUGAUUAAUGGCAGACAAUUUUAAUGGAAAACAAUCCAAGUGGUGCAAGUUUAGCACCCUAAAGUUGACUUUAAAAAAGUGGCAUGGGAUAAUUUUUUUUUGGUCCUUGAGAUAAUGGGCUAUUUAUUGUUUGGUCCUUAAACCUCAACUAUAAAUAGGCCUUCUCAUUUCUCAUUUCAAUUCAUCCCAACCAAUCUUUCUCUCUUAGUUUUCUCUCUUCUCCCAUUUGAGAAUUCUUAAAGAAUUCUAUUUGUUUGUAAUACUUUGGAGAUAGUAAAGUUAUCAUCUGGUGUUAGUGCCCGAGGACGUAGGUAUAAUUUACCGAACUUCGUUAAAUCUCUUGUGUUCUUUCUUGUCCUAUUUUUCUUUCAAUAUUUAAGGGUAUAAUAGUAGUAUUUAAUUGUGCUAUUAAAUUACUAUAGAAGGGAUAUUCUGUCUAAGGAAAGACUUGGUAUUUAAGAGAUCCAUGUGAUUCACCUCUCUUCCCUGGGAAUUGAAAUUUGUGUGAUUUUUUAGUACAAUAAUUUACACACUUCCGACCCUAUUGGAACAACAAUACCUAGUUUCUAAAUUACAAAAGGCCAAGGAUUCAUAAUCAAUUAAAGAGGCUCAACUAACAUGUGAUGCACAUUGGCUCUUUUUUUUUUGCAGAGAUUACACAUGUAAACAAGUUCUACUAUAUCAUUGGUUAUGGUUCACUAUUAAUACCCUACCUUAAGACAUUUUGGUCCAUAGUUCUUGCUCUCAUAAGAUGACCGCAAAUGCCCUCAUAGACUUUGCAAAGGAAGUAAUUAUUGUUAUCUAACCCAAUGAGACUUAAUAGAAAUGUCUUUCAGACAAUUGAAGUCUACUUUACUAAGAUUAAGAGGACCUGUAGCCACUUGGGUGUGUAGAAUCAGAUUAGACCUCUAUUCUGGCAAAGCAUCAUUGAGAUUCUUCUUGGUAUCCUAUUGAAAUUUUCUGAAAGUUUCGUAAUGGAUUGGUGAAGACUUUUUAACUCUGCUUUGUGACCUUCCUCUUGAAACUUGAGCUUCUCCUCUAAGAUAAACUUUUCAUCAUUCAAAUGAUUAACCUCCUCAUUAUAUUGCUCACACUCAACUUGUUCAUCCUUAUAUUUACCCUUCAAAGUUGUGACUCAGGUAUCAAGCCUCCAAAUAAAAUCAAUAGACUCUUGAUAUUUUUUGUGUAAUUGGGCUAAAAAGUCCUCACCAAUUUUUAUAGUUUUUUUCCAACUUUGCGAUUUUGUCAUGUUGACGCUUACUGGCAUCUUCGAGAGCACUACCCCAAAGACUGAGUUCCACUGAUAAAGCCUUAUGAACUCUUGUUAUGAGUGAAAGAGGAGACCUUGUAGAAUUUUUGGAAAGGUAAGAGGAAAAAGCCUCCAUUAUCUGUUGAGGCAUUAAAUUCUAUUAUUGUUGAAAAAUGGUAUCAAAGUAGAAAAAUGUUGGUACUGACUCCAAAAGAUCAUGCCAAGGAAAGUUCUUUCUUGUUCCAAUAGAGGGAGCAUCUUGUGGUUAAGUGAGAGGGAUAGUUGAUUGAAUUAAAGGAAUUACCUCUGUAGGAUUCUCUGACAGUAAGGCAUCAGAAAUGUGUAUGGAAAAACUUAUUUGUUGGGCGAACGUUUUAGGAAAUAAUGAAUCUUAAGUAGAGUAAGAAUUGAAUAUGAGUGGGUAAUUGCAGCGACAGGCUCUUUACCUAGUUUACACCUUUUUAAUGGACGGCACUCACAGCUUUUAGACUUUUGAGUACUUUCUUCUAUUCUGAUCCUUUUCUUCAUUUUCUUUCCUGCUAUCAUAUUUGAUGGAGUAAUAGUAGUCUUCCCCUUAAUACGAGCUUUCUUAAGUAUAGAGGAAAUGUCUAUGUUCUGGGUAUGAGAAAAUGGUGAAAACCCUACACCAUCAAUAGGAUAAUUAACCUGAUUUGAAGAUGAGGUAGAAGUUGUAACAAGAUUAGUAAUAAGGUUCCAAUUUCGUGGGUGAAGACCACAAAUGUUAUAAAAAUAGAAAUGAGGUUUUAUUUUGUGCCCCAAAAAAUAGCUAAAUCAAUAUUUGAACUGUAUGGUCAAGCUUCAAAAGUAAAAGGCACGGUGAGAUCAUUCAACCACUUCAUAGAAUCAUUUGACCGAUAACCAUUGGUCUUAAUUCUUGUAAGCAAUAUUGGAAAAUAUUUCUAACUGUAACAAGUUCCACCAAAUCAAGUAUGCACCAUUUUCUUAACCAUUUAUAUUGACUAUUAGUCAACUGAGAAUCCACUGACUGAAUUUGUGCACAAAUAUUUUCCUUAUGAAUGGACCAUAUUGUGAGAAAGCCAAACCCUGAUUUGAAUUUACAAAUAACUCUUAUAAACUUAUCUUUCCUCUGAUGAAGAUUGGAGAUGUUGUUCUGAAUGAUGGGUUCAUGGCCUGUACAAACACUAAAAUGAGCACUACCAGUAAAAGUCCCCUGUCUUUUCAUCUUCAAUUGAUAAAAUUUUUGGAAAACCCCCAACAAGGGUGGCUCAUUUUGUUUACAACAGUCAAUGAAGAAAGCUACCAAUGUCCACCAAGAAAGGGCUGAUAGUUGUCCUAGUACAAGGUUGUAUUCUGUCAACACGACACAAAAGAAUGAUUAGAGUGGCCAAUGGAAAUCGGCUCCCAACUGAAUAAGACGUAUGAUGAAAAGUAGGGGUCAUUGAAAAGUGUAACCAAAGUUCGGAUGUGGGAUGCCCCAAACUCCCAAAUACUGAUUCAUUUCAUCUUAGGUAGUGCCAUUAUUGAGCAUUUUUGACUCUACCCGCAAUGAUGUAUCUCUGAGUUCUUGGGGUCUAAAUGGAAUGGGAUUUUUACGUGUAGUGUUUUGUCUAACUUGGCCUCGACCCCUUCCUCUAGUUGUAGUUCGAAUCAUUUUAUGCAAUGAUAAUGCAACCAAAAAAAAAAGAAAUGAAAGAAAGAAAAAGAAAAAACCUUUGGGAAAAUCUGAAACUGAAGAUUGAGAAUGCAGAAAGGUUAAGUAGAAAAAAGGUUAGAGGUUCAAUUGAUUUUGCAAAAGUGAUUGAAGAAGUGUUUGUGUAUCUGUUUUAUAGAAACAAACUUGUACAAGAAGUUUAUUUCAUGGAAACUGUUCAGGUUUUCCAAUAUAUUGUUGACAUAUGUUAAAAUGGGUAAGUGUGUAACGUUUUCAAUUUUCGUGGGUAAUUACCAAAUCCUGAAUUCGCCCAGCUCAUGGUAUGCACCUGGCAUGAUCAGUUAGUUAUUAGAUAUACUUGGAAACUUUUUCAAAGUUAGAAAUUUGGUGGACGAAAUUUUGUUAAGGGAGGAGAGUUGUAACACCUCAAAUCUGGUGGGUCCAAAGUUUGGCAUAUAGCCAUAAAUAGUCUAUCUGGCGUAGUGUUAUCCGCCAAAAGAUUGUUUUGGCGUAUACGUGUGGGCGUAUAGCAACUGCCACAAAAGUGAGUAAGAAUUUGAUUUUUUGAUAUUCUGUCAUGUAUUAAAGAGAAGUUCGUGUUAAGAAAUUAAGGAUAAGUAUAGGAGGAGUUCGCCAAAAGUAUAGUACACCUGUUUUGUAUGGAGUACAUAUGAAAUUUGCAUUGAAAUUAAUAAGCAUAAUAAACCUAAUACGAACUUACCUAAACGAAGCAACUACCAACACUAUAACGGGAACUACUCAACAACUUUUCCUUUACUGUUUUCAUCAACUGGUUGAUCCGUUUCAUAUAAUAAUUUAGCUCAAUUAAUCAAUUCAAUACCUUAAAAUAUCUAAAUUCGUGUAUUUGACCCUUUAAUGACAUUUUACAUUAUUACCCUGAGCUUUUACCUCUUAUUCAAAUUAGUCCUUUAAAUUGAACCUUACACAUUUAUCACAAUUAAAACAAAACUAAGCUAGUUGAAUUCUCUCCUAUACAUUCAUAGUCCAUAAUUAUUGAAAUUUCACAAGAAUCUCAUGCUAAAUUUAUUAUUUAUAGUUUUAUCAUUUUAGUCCCUAAACUUAAAACUAACCAAAAUUAUUUUACAAAAUAAUCCUUACUAACAACCAAAUUUUAAAUCUUUCAUUUAACUUCAGGAACAUAAAAAAUCAACAAUUGCAAAUAUUAAAAGCUUUAACAUAUUUACAAAAUAGUCCCUAAAUUAGCUAGAUUAAGCUACAACGAUCUCAAAAAUGUAAAAAUUACUAAAAAUAGACUUGAAUUACACACCAUGCAAUUGAACUAAAGCUUGGCCGAACUUGAGCUUUAGCUAUGGUGUUUCUUUCUUUAAUUUUUGGUGGGAAUGAAUUAAGGAAGAUGAUAAUAUGUUUAUCUUUCUUUUGUUUAUGUUUUAUUUAUUAAUUUACUAUUUUCCUUUAAAAAUUAACUAAAAUCUCAUGAAUAAUUACACCUUAAUCGUCCACUACAACGUUAUAAGGUUUAAUUAUCUUUUAAAACCCUAACUUCAUGUUUUUAUAACCAUUAAGCAUAUAUAAACUAAUAGUGAUUAACUUUUACAGCUUUUAUGAUUUAGUCAUUUUUACUUAAUUAUCUACAUGUUAAAAUUACCUAACUGAAUUUUAAUACGACAUUCUAAUAACCUUAUAAUAUUAAAUAAAUAAUAUUUACUAAUUCACUGGUCAGAAUUGUGGUCCCAAAACCACUUUUUCUGACAUCAUUGAAAAUGAGUUAUUACAAAUUUUGAUAUGACACUCUAAUAACCUUAUAAAUAUUAAAUAAAUAAUAUUUACUAACUCAUUGGUCUAAAUUGUGGCCACAAAAUUACGAUUUCCGACACUACUGAAAAUAGGUUGUUACAAAUUUUAAUACGAAAUUGUAGUCCCAAAAUAACUGUUUUUUAUACCAUUGAAAAUGACCUAUUACAAAUUAACAAUACACCAGCACUUGAAUCAUCUUUCCCAUAUAAUUAUCAACAAAUAACAUCCAUUAGACUUCAAACAUGGGUUUGCCAUAAUCAAAGGGUUUGAUUUUGUAUUCGAUGCUAAAGAUGGGACAUCCACAAUCACGAGCUUGAUAGUUUCCUUCCUAGAAGAGCUUGAUGUAUCAAAUUUUUAAUAUUAUACAAAUGCUUUAAUUUUAAUAUUGAUUAGGGAUGUAUUUUUGUUAAUAUAAUAUGUAAAUUAUCAUAAUAAUUAAUGUAAUUUAAUUAUGUUUAUUAUUUAUUAUUUUAAAUAAUAUUACUUUACAUUACUUAUAUUAAAUAAAAAGUAUAUUGUUUAAUAAAUUAGAAAUUUUAAAUACAUAAAAUCACACUCGUUAUGUGAUGUUAGGAACUAAUCUAUUUUAUAUAAAAGGCAUUGAUCUCAUAUGUACAAUUGAAUUAAAAUAUGUUGUAAAAAAAUUGAAUAAAAUAUAAGUUUAAGAUAUUUAAGUUUUACUCCAACUAAAAUAUAAUUUACUUUUAUAGCCAUUAAAGAUAUUACUCGAAGAAUUAAAUUUUUUUAUUAUUUUAUCAAUUAAAAAGGAAAAGGAUUUUUUUUUUAAAUUAACAUUUACAGGAGAAACAUUCAAAAAUUUCAAAUAUAGAAAAUACUAAAAAAAAAGGUAAAUGUAUUUGGGGUUAAUGAAAUUUACCUUUCGAUUUAAUUGAAUAUGAUAAAGUUGAUUACUUACCCUUUUGCUAUGCCAUUGUCUAUAUUAUGAUUAUAUCUUAAUUCUAUACAAGGGUUAUUUAAUACUUUGGGCUUUCUCUUUAUGGGAAUACAAAAACGUGAGAGAAAGAUUUGAAAAUAAUAAUAUUAUUGCUACUCAACUUGUUUUUUUUUUAUUCAAUGUUUAAAAUUAUUUAUAACUCCUUCUCAAUCCAUAAAUAGAAAAAUAAUACGCUUCAACGACUCGAAUCCACGUCCUCCUACACUGGUCCUAAUACCUAUGUCAAUCAAGCUAAGACUCAAUCAGCAUUGCUCAAGUUUUUGAUGUUUUUCAUCCUCCAAAACUAGAGUAACUCAUGACUAAAUUGGGUUGGGCUGAGUUAGGAUAUUUUUAAAAAAAAAAAUUAUCUAAAUUUUGCUUGGGUGGACCUAUAAAAUUUUAAAAGAAUAAAAUAAUAUUUUAUAUUAAUAUAUUUAUAUAAUUAAAUUUAAUUUGGAAUUGAAUUUAUAAAAAGAAUUUUCCAACCAUCAACCUACAUGAGCCAAACAAAUGGCUCCACUUAAAUCUAUGUUUUCUUUUCCGUGGUUUUAUGUAUUUAUUUUUCAAUUUAUUAAAAUAUAAAUAAUAUCAUUCGAUAUUAGAAUACAUCAAGUAUUUUGAAAUUACAAUAAUAAUAAAAAGUACAAACAAUAAUUUAACUCUUAACUAAAAAAAACUAUUAGCUAUUUAAAAAAUUAUUAAAUUUAAUUAUUUUCUUGUUCAUAUAUAGAAUUUUUUAAUUAGAAAAGUGAUAAUGAAAUCAUAGUUUAGAUAUCAUUUCUAACCACAAAAAAAUUAAAUAUUAAAAUAAGAAAAACAGAAUCAAUUUCCCAUUAAACCUCAAAAUAAGAUAUAUAUAUAAUUUUCAAUAAAAUUAAAUAUAAUUCUAAUACCAAUGUAAUAGUAUAGUGAAUAAUAAUUUUAUUUUGGUUUAAUACAUAAUUUUGUACAUGAGUUUGAUAAUUUUUUAAUAUGGUACUUGUGUUUGACCAAAGUUAUAUAUUUUGAUACCAAAAGGUUACGAUGUUACCUUUUUAAAAUUUAAUUUGAGUUUUAGAGUUAAUUUGAUGAAAAUUCAUGAUUAGUUAAUAAUAUUAGCAAUUAACUUUCAUCAAAUCAACCCUAAAGUCUGAAUUAAAUCACAUCCGUUGGACAGUAUUUGACAAAUUAAACAAAUUCAUAAGUAACAAUAAAUUUAUUCUAUUAAUAAGAUUAUGAAAUUUUUAAACUUAAUAAUAUUAACAAAUAAUUUUAAUUAAAUCAACCCUAAAACUUAAAUUAAACACUAAAAAAAUUAACAUAAUUACCUUAUAGUACCAAAGAAUAAAUAAAUUUUGUGAAAUAUAGAUACCAAAUUAAAUAUAAAUAGGAAUGAAAGGAAGAGCGGAAGUUGAAAUGAAAAUGGAAAAUGAAGUGUUUAAAAAAUGGAUAGAAAGAGUAAAAGGACAAAUUUGGCGUUUAAUGUAGAAGGUAGUGUUCACAAAUUAUUCUCUUCAAUGAAGAGAGAUUGACUUAGACCCUUCUCCCUCCAUUUCAAAUUUUAAAUAUUUUUCAAUUAGAUUACAAGGUUUUUCAUUUUAAUUAGAAAUAGAAUAAUUUGAAAAUGUUGGGAAAUUGUUGUUGGUUAGUACAACAAUGGUGAAAAGAGGGCCAGCCAGGUCAGAUCACACAAAACAAGGCAAUUUGUGAAUUUCAUUUGUCUGCCAACUGACUCACUGAGUCGCUGUCUGUCCAUUUUUCACUUUUGACAGUGACAAAGUCCUUUACUUCAGUCGGAACACAGAUAUGGUAUGAAUAUGAUUAACAAUUAAAGAAAGUAUGUUCAUUAUUCUACCAUUAUUUCUAUUUUUUAUUUUACUCAUUUUCUAAUUACACCUAUAUCAAUUUAAUCCUUAACUCACACCUCAAAUCUUAUAUACAUUUAAAUUUUAAAAUUAAAAACUAAAACUAAAAUUAAAUUCAAAAGAAAUAAAAGAGUUAACGAUAAAAUUUUUAUAACCUCAAAAAUAAGGUUUUUUAAAAUAUUUAUUUUUAUAAUAUUUAAAAUCUGAUAUAUUAUUUAACAAUUUUAAUAAUGUAAGGAUCUAAUUGAUAUAACUGAUGUAUUAGAACGAUUUAAAGUUUAGGAACUAAUCUAGAAUAAAGAUCAUAUUUUAGGGAUGUUUUGUACAAUUAACUCUUAUACAAAUUUAGAUUUUCAGCAACAAAAAAAAAAAGUGUUCAUAAUAAUAUUUUACAAAUUGAUUUCUAUUACUAACAAGUGGUUGAAAAUGACAUUGUUAGAAAUGACAGCCAUGCAAAGUACCAAAACAAAUAUUAAUUUUUAUUUAUUUACUUACUUAUAUUCUUUCAUAUAUUAAAAUUUUAGGUUAAAAUAUGUUCCAAAAUCUAUAUUUUUCACACAUUUGAAAUUUAGCCAUUUUCUUUUUAGAAUUUAGUCCUACCUUUUUUAAUUUCAAAAUUCCGGUCUAAUCAUUAAUUCUAACCAACUACUUCUAUUAAAUUUAUUGGUAUGACUUUUUAGAAAGAAAGAAAAACUUCAAUUGGUAAUCACAUAACAAAAACAAAAAAUUGUAAUGAACCUAGAUUGAACAAAAGAAUUUAACAAUGUUAACAAAUAAACUUGUAUUUUUAAAUUUAAAAAGUAGAGGAACUAAAGUCCUUAAAAUAAAAGUAGGGGGCUAAAUUCUAAAUGUAAAAAAAUAAAAAGACUAAGAGAAACUUUAACCUAAAAAUUAUUAAUAAGCGUUAAAUGCAAGUUCAAACUUGACAUUGAGCAUAUUUAAAACAUGUUAAUCAAUUGUAGGCAUGUAUGUAACUUAACUUGCAAUUAUUAGUUCCACUUACAUAGGUCGUAUGCAACUCCAAUUGCAACUUACUUGAAAUUGGCAAACCAAUGAAACUUGUCAUAUUCGGUUGACAUCUUUUGAUUUAAACUACGGGAGUUUUUAUUACCACAUCUUUGAGGAUUUUUAAUAGCAAUUUGUUGAAGGUAAAACGUGGAAAAUCAAUCAAAUAAAGACAUUAUGAAAAUUUCAAUGUGACCUAAGUUUCCAUAUUGGAUGGAUGAGACUUGAUCUCCAAGGAAGUUUAUAUCGAGAAAAUCUAUGUCACUUUAUUUCAUAUUAAAGACUUAGUUGAAGGCUACUUUUUGGGGAAUUCGAGAUUCACACCAAUUGUAUUUGUGUAAGCCAUUAAACUUCUAUUUAACAGAAGGCUAGUUUGAACUUUUAUAUGAGAUUAAAUGAACACUUAUCUUCUUCGUGUGAGGAACCUAUUUUAGUGAAAAACUAUUGUAAAUAAAAUAUUCUUGCUGUUCACUUUACAACAAAGCUUUUAAGAGGAAAGUCUUUGUGGGAAACAUUAUCUAGACUGAGCACAAGCAUGAGGUUGCAACUAGGUGAGUGAAUUGGACUUAAAUCACGUCUUAUAUUUGUUGAUUUAUAGUGGUUGAGUCUUUAGGCAAGGCCUCAUAGACAUAGGGAAUUUUUAAAUUUUAUAACCAAAAUUUGGUGCUUAUAUCUUAUUUUAUAAUUGUUAAUAAGUUAGUUCAGUUGCAAUUGAAUGAAAACUGGAAGGAAAAAUCAGUAAACUCUCAAUUGGUCUUAAUGCUAGACACUUGACAGACUAAGUGAAGAACCUGUCAUUUAUUUGUUGUUGAGAUGGAGGAGGAAUCAAUCUUAAAGACCCCUUAUGUUGGAUGGCAUGAAUUAUGCCUAUUGAAAAACAAGGAUAAGGAUUUUCAUCAAAUUUGUAAAUGAAAAGCAUGGCACUCAAUUUCGACUAGUUGGAACCACCACCAACUAAUGUAUUUGGUGUGAUAACUCUUGAACAUGAAAUGUCAUGAACCAAUGAUGAAGAAAAUUUGGCUAAUAUAAAUUCCAAGGCUCUUGAUGUAAUUUUCUUUGGAGUAGGCCCUCGUGAAUUUAGGUGCAUCUUUAAGUGCACAAUUGCUAAAGAGGUUUGGACUAUAUUAGAAAUUGCUCAUGAAAGAACCAAUAUUAUGAAGUAGUCCAAAUUUCAAAUGUUGAUUACAAGGUUUGAGACCCAACAGAUAAGGGCGAAGCCAGAAAAUUUUUAAGGAGGGGCUGGAAUGAAAUUGUACUUUGUAUGAGAGCUAAAAUGUAAAUUUACUAUUUUAUUAGCUUAUAUCUUUCUAAUUUUUAAAGGAUUAAAUUAAAAUUAUAUUAUUUUUGAGGGUCAAAAUAUAAUUUUACCAUUUACUAACUUAAAAUUAUAUAAAAUUAAAAGGGAUAAAAAUUAAAUUUUACAUUUUAAAAAGGGUCGGGGCUUAUCCCAGCCCCUUCCCUCUACCCCUGCUUAAGAAUGUAAGACAUUUGCACCUGGUGAAGAAUACCUAAAUUUGAAGCUGGUUAGAAAAGUUCUUUGAUCUUUACUUGAAAAUUUGCAAUUAGUGUGACAGUUACUAAGAAAAAAAAAGAUAAUGACUAUGAGGAUUGACAACCUAUUUGGUUCAUUGCAAACUUCUGAAACGAAUCUUGAUGUAACAAGGAAAAAGAAAGGCAAGGUUGAGAAGAUUAUUGCAUUGCAAGUUGCAGCUCCAGUUUCCAUCGAGGGUGAAACUACCGUGAAUGACCUAUAGUAGCAGUUGGCACUACUCACUUAAAACAUUAAUAGGGUGCUUAAAAAGUUGACCAGAAAGAACAAAAGAUUUAAUACAAAUAAAAAUUUUGGGAAGAUAAAGUGGAAACGAGUUAUGAUCAAUUACAGUACACCCAAGGUGAAAAAGAAGAGGAUACAGUGUCAUAAAUGCCAAGGCUUUGGUGAUAUUCAAGAUGGAUGUCUCAAUAUAUUGAAGAAAAAAAAGUUAUAGUGUGUUACCUGGAGUGAUGAAAACUCUUCAAGUAAUUUAGAAGAGGAUGAAGAGCAUCUUAGCAACUAUGUUGCCUUUACCUCCCAAGUUGUUCUUGUAGUUGUAAUUGACUCAAAUAACUCAAAAAUGAUAUUGAUACCAAGUCUAGUGGCAUUAUAAAGACUUAAAUUAUUAUGAUAGAUAAAUAGGAAUGGGUGUGCAAGAUAAAUGGAAUACUUGAUUAUGAAAGCUCCUUAAUAAAAGUGAACCAGAUCAAGGAAAAAAGAAUAUCUAUUGAAUGACAAGUCAACUAAAUUGGAAACAACAUCAAAGAAAUUAUCUACUGCCCAAUUUGUGUUUAAAAGGCUAUAAUCUAGUAGUGAUUAGCUAGAUGAGAUACUUGCAACUGGUAGAAGAACUCUAGUAAGGGUGAACUUCAUUAUGAGGAUAAAGAAGAUAGAAUAACAAAUUGUCUUUGUCAAAGUUUAAAGAGCAGUUGAUCUACCUAAGUGUUUCUAAAAGGUUGAGAUUAUUUGUACAAAGGAUCAUAGCAAGCACAUUCAAAUAAUUGCAUGUCAUGAUUGUGGUUUCCUAUGUUAUAUUAAACUAAGGUAAUUCAAAAUUUUAAAGGAUCUAAUAAGAAAAGAUCCAAUUAUUGUUAUGAGCUAAUGAGCUCAGGUUUGGUUAAAUAAAAACAUUUUUGUACCAUAAUCCUGAUACAUAUACAUUCAUGUUUUUGGUUCUUCUGUAAUUUUAAAACAAGAAUGUUAGGGUAUUUUAAUAAAACAAAACAAGCAAAACAUUUUUUUAGAUAUUAAAAGAACUAUUUUUGUUAUUUAUUGCUGUAAGUUAACAAAGUAUAAAAAGAAAUAUUUUUUAGAUUGGAAGCUCAUAGGUUUUUUAGCGAAAUUUGGAUUUUGUGGAAUUCUUGUACCACAGUUGAGGUUUUAGAAGUAGAUUUAGAGUUUAUUCAUCUACAAUGCUUUUCUCAUGAUUUUAAUAGAAGUUUUCCAUGCAAUUAUUUAUGCUCACCUUCACAUUACGAUGAGGAAAAUGGUGUGGCAAUCUUUAAGUAGUCUUUUGAACCAAUACACGCUCUUUUAGUUCUUUAGAGGGGGCUUUAAUUGCAUUAAAUAAGUAGAGGAGAGAAAAGGAGCACCCUUGGGUAAAAGUGAGUUUAGUAAAGUUUUCUCGAACUUUAUUUUUGAUGGUGGAUUAAUUGAUUUGGGUUUUCAAGAACCUAAGUUUACUUGGUCUUAGGGAACACUCUUUUAAUGGCUUGAUCAAAUUUUUUUUUUUUUUGUAAUUUAGAAUGGAUGGUGUAGUUUUUGUCUUCAACGAUUCUCCAUUUACAAAAAAAAGAAAGGUUCAGAUCGCUGACUUAUUAUUUUGAGCACUAUGGUAAAUUCGAAGAAAAUAAAAGACAAAUUAUUUCGCUUUUUUGCUACUUGACAGGAUCAUCCCCAAUUCCUAGAUUUUUUAAAAGAAACUUGGAAGCUAAAUGCAAAUCUUCAAAAAAAUAUUAGUUCAUUUUUGAAUGUUAAAGAAUGGAAUAAGUAGGUAUUUAGGCAUAUUGGGAGAUAAUCGAACAUUUCACAUCGACAAAUAUUUGAUGGUUUUGUACAAAAUACUUACAAAGACUAUUGUUAAUAAACUUAAGCCUUUUUUACUUGAAUGGUCCCACCCUAACCAAGUAAGUUUCGUGCCUGGAAGUUGCAUAAGAAAUAACAUCAUUAUUGCUCAAGAAAUCAUACAUUUGAUGAAGAAGAAAUCCAGAAAAAAGGGGUUGGAUGACUAUCAAAAUAGAUCUAGAAAAAGCUUACGAUAGAUUAGACUGCACAUUUGUCAAGGACUCUCUUUCUGAAACAGGUACACUAUUAUUGAUAAGGGAUUUUAUUAUGCAAUAUAUCUAUAUAGUGAAUAUACAGGUAAAUUGGAAUAAGAGCCUUUCUGAUGAUUUUAAGCCUACAAGAAGGAUACACUAGAGGGAUCCUUUAUCCUCAUAUAUAUUUGUUGUAUGCAUGGAAUGAUUAGUACAUGCAAUUAAUAAAGAAGUUAGCAAUGAAAGAUGACGUUCGAUUCAAUUAAGCAGAGGGGCCCAUUUAUCUAGCGUCGAUUGAAAAAAUGCAUACUUCUUGACAUAAAAUGAAUAAGAAAAAAAAAUAAAAAUCUAUUUUUCUAAUAAUGUUCCCGAUGUGCUUAAAAUUGGCAUUAGUUGCGAUUUUGGGUAUGCUUAGGUUGAUGAUUUGGGUAGGUAUCUCGAGUUGCCUUUGUUACAUCGUAGGGCCACUAAAUAGACUUAUGGAUAUUUAGUCUCUCAGAUUAAAAGGGAACUAGUUAGAAAGAAGGCUUGCUCUUUAUUAAUGGCUGGAAGGGUCACACUUGCUAAGCCAGUUAGCUAUACCUAUUUAUGCUAUGCAAACCCUAGUUUUAGAAGUAUCUACUUAGAGAUCUAUAGUAUUAUUCAAAACUUUAUUUGGGGUAGAUCAGAUAUGGCUCGAGGUAUUAAUUUAGUCAAAUGGAGUGAAGUGUGUAAACCGUUGCUGGAGAGUGGACUUGGCUUUCGAACGAUGGAUAACAAUAAUAAAUUAUUUCUCACGAAGGUUGGCUUUCACUUAACUCAAAAGAAUGUUCAAUUGUGGUUUAGAGUACUAAAGUCAAAGUACAGAUGGGAGGGUGAGAUAUCGAACUGUCUAAAGUCAAGUGGAGUUUCUAGAUUGUGGCAAUGAGUGUAUAGUAUUUGGGAUCUUAUUAGAGAUUGGAUUGUGUGGAAUUUGGGAAAUAGAAAUAAUGUUGAAUUUUGGUGAGAUAAAUAGGCUCCUAUAGAGUUUCUGUUACGAGGUAAAAAGCUAAGUAGGAAAAUAGAAACUAAAAGGGUCUUAAAACGAUGAGUUUCACUUAAGUAAACGGUACAUUUAAUACUAAGAAUAAUUUUGCAAAAUGGUGCGUUGGGACUUCAAUUAAUUAGUGAGUAUUGUUACAAUUGAAUUUGCCACAUUUAUUCUGAGUAUUGUUACAAUUGAAUUUGCCACGUUUAUUCUUUCUUUAUUUUCCUUUUUAAGCAUUGGUUGUAAGGAAAAAACGGUUAUAAAAUCACACAAUGAAAUUAUUGAAAUCUCUCUUUUCUCUUUGUUUUUCUUCUUUUCUCUACUUUCUUCUUAUUUCAGAUUUGAGGUUACAUCAAAGGUAUCAGAGCUAUUACGAUAUCUGUGAUGGCCAGUGAUGGUGUCUCAACCCGAUUGCAGAAGGAGAUUGGGGGCAUGCAACAGGAAAUCUCUAAAAUACAAGAGGAGAUGGUUCAAUUAGAGGCUAGGAUGGAUACCAAGUUUCAGGAGUUUAAGGAUGAGUUCCUUGGGGAUUUACAAGUUUUGUUAGGGUAGUGUUUUGGACCUCAGCAAAUGGGACCUCGAAAAAAGGAAAGAAGGGGGCUUCACAUUGAUUCCCUCUAAAAGAUUCAGGGGCAUCUAAUGUACUAAUUGGACCAAAAAUGAUACCUUCAGUUGAUGUGAACAUUGUGCAUCUGCAGAAUCACUCACUUGUGGUAGAAACAUCUGAGAAGCCAAGUAAGCUUGAGUGUCCCAAGUUUGAUGGUAGUGAUUUUCGAGGAUGGUGGAAACAUCUGAGAAGGCAAGUAAGCUUGAGUGUCCCAAGUUUGAUGGUAGUGAUUUUCGAGGAUGGUGGACUAAGCUUGAACAAUACUUUGAGGCUGAGGGAACUCUAGAAUCAAGCAAAGUUCAUAUAUUAAUGUUGAAUCUGGAUGUAAUGACCCGAAUUUUACCGUUGCUGAAAAAGUGUAUUUUCGGGUCUCCGUUUCUGAAAAAUGGAUUAGUAAAUAUUUAUUAAAAAUAUUUACGAAGUUAAUCGAGUGGUUAAUUAGAGUUUAAUUAAGUGAACUAGCUUAAAUUAAGGAUAAUGGGAUAAAAUGAUUAAAUUGAAUGAAGUGUGAAAGUUUAAUUAUAGAAUAAAAAAAUUGAAAGGACUAAAUAAGUAAAUAAGCCAAAAAGAAUGCUAAGUAUAUGGAAAAAAAUAAAAUACAAGUGUAAUAAAUAUAAUACACACAUUUGUAAUACAUGUAUGCAUUUGUUUAUUAUUUAAGUAAAUAUUAGUGUAUUUAUUAUUAUUAAAUUAAUAUUAUAUGAUAAAUAAAUAAAAGUAAGACAAAUGUGUGGUAAUGAUUGGGUACAAGUGUAUUAAUAAAAAAAUACAUACACUUGUAAUGCUUGUAUUUAAGUAUUAAAAGAUAUUUAUUAAUUAAAUAAUUAUAUUAUAAGAUUUUAUAUGAUAAAUAUAUUAGAUAAUGACAAAUGUAUGGUUAUAAAUGAAUACAAAUGUACUAAUAAUAUACACAUGAAUAAAUAAAUAAUACUUAUUAUUUAAAUAAUAAAUACAUGUGUAUAUAUAUAUAAAAGGAAAUAAAGAAGAAAAAAAAAGAAUAGAAAUAGAAACAGAAUAGGCAAAACGAAAAGCAGGGAAAGAAAGAAAGAAAGGAGAAAAGAAAGAAGAAAGGGAAAAUUGAAGGUUUGAAGCUUGAGAUUUAAAUAGGUAUGUCAAUUUAACCCUUUUUACUUAAUUUUGAUGUUUUAGAAACUUUAGAACAAGGUUUUGAUGAAGUUAAGUUGAUUUAUUGUAAGAUAGUUGAUUAUAAGACAUUGUUCUUAUUGAACAAAAAGAUGAAUUAAGGGCUAAAUUGAUAGAAAUUCAAGUUAGAAAUGAAAUAAGGAUUGAAUUGUAAAGUGAUUCAUAAGUUUUAUGCUUUAAGGACUAAAUUGAAAGAAUUUCGAAAUUAUGGUUUUAUGAUGAAAAAUAGAUAAUUAUGUGUAAGUUUGGUUAAAAAUUUAGUAGAAGUAAAGUAUGAAUUAGGAUAGAAAACUAAGUGAAUUUAGUUAGGAUUAAAUUGAAAUUAAAAGUAGAAAAUCAACAUUUUGCACUAAGACUAUUUUGGACAGCAGCAGUAGUCUAAGUUUGAAAAAUCACCAAAAAUUAUAGAAAUUGAAUUAGAGGAUGAAUAAAAUAUGGAAUUAAAUCUUAUUGAGCCUAGUUUCUUAUAAAAGAAACUAUAUAAGCAAUUUAAUUGUAAAUUAUGAGAUAUAAUGAAUUUUGUGAGACAAGGUCAGAAUGAAUUCGGGUUCCCCAAUUUUGACUUUGGAAAAUCACCAAAAAUUGGAGAAAAAUAAUUAUAGGCCAAAAGUUGUAUUUUUAGAAUCCCUAAUGAGUAUAUUUUCAGGAAAAAUUAACGGGAAUAUUAUCCGAGUUUUGUACUGUGAGAUAAUUAUUUUUUAGUGAAGAAGGGUUGAAACUGUCAGACAGCAGAACCGGGAUAAAUUUAAAGAAUAAACUGUACUUAUUGGCUAAAGCAAAAAAUUCUAAAAAUUUUAUGGUAAGAAGAUAUAUGAGUCUAGUUUUAGGGAAAAUUAGCUGAUAUUAAUUUGGAGUUUUAUAACUCCAGAUAUAAAUAAUUUAGUGACUAUGACAUAGAUGGACAGCUUGAAUAUCCAUAAAAGUAAAUAAUAAAAAUUAUAGAUAAUGUUGCUUAUAAGUGUGUUAUAUACAUUAAGGAUGUGGAAUGGAGAGGAGGAGAAGGAAAAAUAUAUAUGAAUAUUCAGUUAGCAUGGCUAAUUUGCAUGUUUUAAGCUCAUGGACUAAAUUGAAUAAAAGUAAAACUUUAGGGGCAAUUUUGUAAAAAUAUCGAAAAUGACUAAAUUGAAGGGAAUGAAUUGUUUUAUUAUCUGAAUUAAUAAAUUGAAUGAAAUUAUCAAUUUAAGAUUGGGUGAAAUUUUGGAAAAUGGUAAAUUACCAAUAUGCCUCUAAAUCUUGGUAUUUCUGCAAUUUAGUCAGGUAGGUUCGUAUAUCCUGAAUGAGCAUGUAAAUUGUAACGACCCCUAACCCUAUACCGUCACCGGAACAGGGUUACGAGACAUUACCAGUCAGUACAGUCCAAUUUCGAUUAUUAAUUAAAAUAAAUAUUCACACACAUCCUAGUUUUAAGAUGUCGUCCCUUUAAUGGGCCCUCGCGGUCCAAUAUGAACAGUAAAUUCAAUUCGAGACUAAUUUAGAAUCACUACGAAUUUUUAGUAAAUUUCAAAAUUCAUACUACAUACCGUUGCCAACCAUAUACUUUUACAACUUAAAUGACUCUCAUUAAACAUCCUGGGUACAUGCCAUUAUCAAUACUCAACAUACUUUACCUUAAUGAAUUCGGGAUCGUCUUGGGAUGCUGAUUCAACGUACUAUCUUUACUUAACCUGCGCACGGAAACAAACCGUACGCUGAGUAUGGUAUACUCAGUGGUAUUUCUAUAAUCCGAACAAUUAAUAAUAUAACAAAUACUUAAGAUCAUAAUAAUAAUUACAAUUAUUCAAUUAUUUAUUCAUAGAUAAAUUUCAACUACUUACCAUAUAAAUUUUAUACAGUUCAUAUAAUAAACACAAUAACAUAAUUAUUCAAUUCUUAAAUAAAUCCAUUACUAUUUACUCCGUUCUUUUACUUACUAUUCGGUAUAGCUUUCCUUAAUUUACUCACAAUUCAAUAUCAUUAAACUAUAUUCAACUAUAUACUUAUCAAUCAUAUUCCAUUUUAAUUCAUUUCAAUAACAGUCAAUUUCAUUUAUAUCGUAUCAACUUACUAUCCCUGAUAGCUUUCAGUAUAUACAUACGAUUCAUAUAUCUCAAAUCACAUUUCAAUUCAUCAAGUGGCAUCAUAUAUCAUCAAUUCGAACUCCAAUCAUUUCAUGAACCUUUGGUUCAUAUUUUCAAUUUCAUAUCUAAAUUUUCAAUUCUCAAUUCAAUUUCUUGUUUCAUUUCAAUAGCUUGAUCAAUCAAAUUUAUUCGAUUUAUCUUUCACUUAUUUACCCCUAUUAACAAACCCGGACUUUGACGGAAACACGGAUUCCAACCCAAACACACCAGUACGGCACAUUGUGCCUAAAACGGUACAUAGUACCUGAUCAGUAUACGACACAUAAAGUGCCUAAAACGACACACGAGGUGCCUGAUACGACACACGAGGUGCCUGAAAUACGACACAUAAAGUGCCUGAUCGAUAAAGCCGGCAAAUCCCGUACACUUCCAGAUCCUAUGGCAUGCCAAUUAUAUCCGACUCAGCCCGACUAGUUAAUAGGGUAUUUCAUUCACUUUCUCAAUUUAAUAAUUCUUUCAUCAAUAUCUCAUUCCGAUAAUUACACAUAUUUACCCAUUUUCACAAUUCAUACAAUUUCAUUCAAUUCAACAAAUAUAUUUCAAUUAUGCACAUUAAUUCAUAAUUCAAUACAAUUCAAUUUACUUUUCAAUACCAAAUAUUCAAAUAUCACAAUCUCAUAUAUUCAUAUCAAUUUCCUCAUAUUUCCAAUCAAUAUAUUUUUCAAUAUAACAUUCAUUCAAUAUUCAAAUUUCUACAUAAAUCAUAUAUAUUAUAUAAUUCAAUCAAUAUAAAUUCAAUCAAAAUAAUUUCAAUCAAUAUAAAUUCAAUAAAUUCAUCGCAUACCAAAAUCAAUCCAUCCCAAUUGUAAAACAUCAUAAUUUUAACACUAACAAUUGCCAUAUGUAUAUAAAUAUAACAAAUAAUAACUAAGUUCGUAUUAUAGAAAUACAAACCGUAAUUUUCGAGCUAACUCUCGUUGACUUUGUCUUGUCCUUUCUUAGCCGAGAUUUCCGGUACCACAUUGACUAUUAAAGCUUAAAGCUUCAAACCUUCAAUUUUCCCUUUUCUCCCCUUCUUUCUUUCUUUUUCUCCCCUGCUCUUUGUUUCUAUUUCCUUUCAUUUGCUUCUUUAGUUUAUAUAUAUAAUAUAAUAUAAUAUAAUAUAAUUAAAACGUAAAGUAUCUUUAUUAUAUAAUAAUAUAAUAAUAUAAUAAUAUACUAAACAUAAAAAAAAAUCUUAGAUUUUCUUCACGAUAAACCGCCUCAAUUUAUACUUUUUGUAUAAUUGCCCUUUUAGUCCUUUUUAUUUUCUUUUAAUAUAUAAUUCAACUUUCACACUUUAUUCAAUUUGGUCCUUUUACUUAAUUACUCUUAAUUAAAUUAAAUUCACUUAAUUAAACUCUAAUUAACCACUUUUACUUCGUAAAUAUUUUUAAUAAAUAUUUACGAAUCCAUUUUUCAGAAACGGAGACCCGAAAAUACACUUUUUCGGUAACGGUAAAAUUCGGGUCAUUACAUAAAUAUGACAAUUUAAGUAUUGUAUCGUAUUUUAUAUGAUAUUUUGAAUUGAAUAUAUGAAAAGGAUGUUACAUGAAACAUGAAAAUGAAUACUAAAUAAUAUAAAUUAAUUGAAAUUAUUCUGAAAAUCUCGGUAAUGCCUCGUAUCCUAUCCUGGUCUCAGGUACUGGUAUGGGGUAUUACACUGGAGGGUUGAGCUCUAGAAUGGCACCAUUUCUACUUUUACCAAAAUGAUGGUCUUCAGAUGUUAUCCUAGCUAGCUUACAUGAAGAGUUUGCAAGAUCGUUUUAGAUUUGGACAGUUUAGGAAUCCUAUGAAAGACCUAGUUAAUCUGAAGCAAUAAGGUACAGUAGAACAGUAUCAAGAUAUGUUUAUUGGUUUAUUAAAUCAAUUUCACCUUCUUAAAACAUAUUCCCUUAGCAUUUUUCUAAGUAAUUUGAAAGCAGAAAUUGGUUAUUAUCUUGACUUGUUUGAACCACCUACUCUGAUAAAAGCUUUUCAGUUGGCUAGAAAGAUUGAUGUGUUGUUUUCUUGCUUAGUAAAGAAGACUUCAGUUUCUUUGAAUAGUUUCCCUAGAUCAUUACUUAGUCUAUAUGUGAUAUCGGUUAUUCUUCAGCUCCACGAGGCCUAUUUCUGCUUCAUAGUCUGUGAUUAGUACUUUAGUAAGAAAAUCUACUUCUCGAUCCAUUUCACCAGCAGUAAUGGUUGAACGGAAGUAGAAGGGCCUAUGCUUCUAGUGUGAACCCAAGUACCAUGCUGGACACAAGUGUGUUAAGUCCCAGCUAUAUUAGUUUCUGCUGGAACCUUUAUCUGAUAGUGAAGUAGAAGAUUUUUAGGAAUGCUUUGAUAGGCUUGAGGAGAGUAGUCCUGAAGAGGAACCAUCCAAAUCCCCUGUGAUUUCGUUACAUGCCCUUAUUGGUUUACAGAGUCAUAAUACUAUAUGAGUGGCCACUCGAUUGGGGUCUAUUUGGGAAAUCAUUUUGUUCAACUCAGGUAGCACACAUAACUUCAUCGAUGCUAGGUGGUGGGUAGGUUAUUACUGCCAAUAGUGCACCAAGAGCAGUUGAAGGUCAAUGUUGCAAAUGAGAGUUGUUUGUUCACCAGGGGAAUAUGCAAAAGAGAUCGAUGGGAAGUUCAAAACUGCUAGUUUGAAACAGAUUUCAUGUUAUUACCAUUGAAGGGUUGUGACAUGAUAUUAGAGGUUCAGUGGUUAUUGACUUUGGAGGAUAUUAUUUGGAACUUUGGUUCCUUAACUAUGUAAUUUAUGGUUAACGGUGAACGAUAUAUUAUUCAUGGUAUUGCUCCAAGCUCAUUAGUAGUAGAAACCAAUAGCUCAAAUUCUCAAUGCUUUAUGGUUAUGGGGCAAGUUUUAGGCUAAGGUAGUCAAUGAUAGUGAGAAAUAACUUCAAGGGUUAUUGAAAGACUUUGGUGAUGGUUUUCAAGUGCCAAAAGGUUUACCACCACCUCGGUUGCAAGACCAUAGAAUUCCUUUGAAAGAUGAGGGAGUUGUAGUUAAAAUUCGACCUUACAAAUAUUCUGUCAUUCAAAAGGGAGAGAUGGAGAAAUUGAUUCAAGAGAUGCUCUAAGUUGGGAUAAUUAGGGAUAACAAUAGCUGUUUUGCUUCUCCGAUAGUGAUGAUAAAAAAGAGGAUAGAAGUUGGAAGUUGUGUGUUGAUCACAUACAACUAAAUCAACAUACAAUCAAGGAUAAGUUUCCCAUUCUCAUAAUUGAUGAGUUGCUGGACGAAUUGGGGGAAGCUCGAGUGUUUUCCAAACUAGAUUUGAGGUCCGGAUAUAAUCAAAUCUAAAUAUGGGAACCUGAUGUACAUAAAAUACCAUUCAGGGCACAUGAGGGGCAUUAUGAGUUCCUAGUGAUGCCCUUUGGCCUCACUAAUGCUCUCUCUAGUUCAGGCUCUUAUGAAUUCAGUGUUCAGACCAUUGUUAAGGAAGUUUAUGCAUGUAUUCUUCGAUGACAUACUGGCCUAUUCAAAGUGAUGGUCCGAACAUUUACAACAUUGGAGAACAAUUCUUCUCAUCUUAACAGAUCAGCAAUUGUUUGCAAAAAAGAAUUAAUGUUGUUUUAGUACUUCUAAAAUUUAGUACCUUGGACAUGUGCUACAUGAGGGGACAGUAUCCAUAGAUAGAUCCAAGAUUGAAUUUAUUUCUUCAUGGCCCAUUCCUCAAUCAGUAAAAUAAUUAAGAAGCUUUCUUAGGCUAUCUGGCUACUAUAGUAGAUCCAUUAGAAACUAUGGGUUGUUAGCCAAGCCUCUUACAGACUUACUAAAAAAGAAUGGUUGGGGUUGGUCUAAAUAGGCAACAUUAGCUUUCCAGUCAUUAAAAGAAGUUUUGUGUGCAACACCAGUUUUGGUGUUACCGAACUUUUAGCUUGAAUUCACGGUGGAUCCAGAUGCCAGUCAUUUUAGAAUUGGAACAGUACUGCAACAGUAAGGGAGACCAGUGGGCUUCUUUAGCAAGGCCUCAGGUGUAAGACACUAAGCCUUAUUGGUCUAUGAAAAGGAAAUGUUAGUAGUUUUAUUGGCUAUUAGGAAGUGGCAUGCCUAUCUUGUGGGGAGGCAUUUCAAAAUUCAAACUGAUCACCACAGUAUGUGGUUCUUAUCUGAUUAGGUAGCUAUCACACCAUUUCAGCAACAGUGGGUAGUUAAAAUGUUAGGUUAUGACUUUAAGGUCUUCUAUAGGAAAGGAAUCAACAAGAGGGUGGUUGAUGCUCUCUCUAGACAACUUCAACUGGAGCAAGGUCAGUUCUUUCAAUUAUCAACUAGUUUUGUCAUUUCAAGUCUCUUGGAGCAGGUGCAACAAUAAUAUGAAUUAGAUGUUAAGUUGAAAGGGAUCAUAUAAGGUAUCACAAAGCAUAAUCAUCAAAACCAAAAGUAUUCGUGGGAUGGAAGAUUUUUGCGAAGUGAAGGGAAAAUUGUAGUGGGAAAGAAUAUGAAUUUGCGAAGGGAACUGUUUCACCAUUUUCAUGCUAAUGUAGUGGGGGGUCACUCAGGCAUUCAUGUCACUAGGAAACAUUUAACUAGUUUGUUAUAUUGGAAGGGUCUAACAACUGAUGUCAAACACUAAAUUAGAGAGUGCUUGGUAUUGGAUUAGAGAGUGCUUGGUCUGUCAGAGAUGCAAGAGUGAGACAUUAGCAUCUCCAAGACUUUUGCAGCCUUUACCUCUGCCUGAUCGAGCCUCGUUUAUUAUUAGUUUAAAUUUCAUUGAAGGAUUGCCAAACUCAAGAAGGAAUUCUCGAACUUAAGAAGGAAGAAUUCCAUUCUGGUUAUGGUGGACCAUUUAACUAAAUAUGGUCAUUUUUGGCACUAUCCCACCCAUAUACAGCUAAAAAUGUAGCACAGAAGUACUUGAAUCAUAUUUAUAAACUUCAUGGCAAGCCUAAUUAAAUUAUAUCACAUAGAGACAAAAUUUUUGUCAGUGGAUUUUGGCAAGAACUAUUUCAAAGAGCUGGUACUAGACUCCUUGUAAUACCCCGAAAAUUUUUACAGUAAGAUAUUAUCCUUGAUAUAGUAAAAUAAGGAAAUAAAGUGACAAAAAGGAAAAUUUUGAGUUAUGUCAAAAUUGAGAAGUAUAUUAUGAUAUAUUAAUUCAAGAAAGGACUAAUUGUAAAAGUGAGAAAAGUUUUGUUGCACAAGAGUAAAUACUCAAAAUUUGAGGGGUUAAAGUGUAAAUAUGAAAAAAUUGAAGGACCAAUAGUGUAAAUAUUUUAAGAGUGGAAUGAUCUAGAAACUAAGGAAAAUGGAUGAAUUAGGACCAAAUUGAAUAGGUGAAGAACUAUGAGGGACUAAAUUAUAAUUUACCAAAUUAAAUGAUGACUCAAGGAUGGAAUUUUAAAAGAUAAUAAGGGCAAAAUAGUCAAUUGAAAGAGAGAGAAAUCUAGAAAGCAAUGAUGAUGUUGGAGAUAUUUUAGAUUAAAUAAAUAAAUAAAUAAUAGUUUAUUAAUAUUUUAAUUUAAUUUUUAAAUGAUAUUUUAUUAUUUUAUUAUUAUUUUAUUUAGUAUAUAUAAGGAAAGAAAGAUAAAGAAUCAUCAUCUUUUUCGAUAAAGAAUCAUCAUUUUUUUCCCAUGCACCCAACGUAUGAAGAGAAAAGGAAGAAAGAAACUUUCUUUUCUUUACAAUUUGGUCCUUCUACCAAAAAUUCACCAUUUUCACCUAAAAAUCAAAAGAAUUUCCAUAGCUACCAAGAGAGAAAAAUGUUAAAGAGGCUACGGGAGGUUAAAAUAUCAAGUUGGAUUCAAGAAAUGGAAGCUGAAGGAGAGAGAAAAUCAAGACGAAGGUUGAAAUCAAUAGAACAAGGUAAGAACAUCAUGAUUUCAAUAUAUUUUUAAGUUUGAUAUUAUUGAAAAAGCAUGGGAUUGAUGUUAAUGUAGAGUUUCCUUAAAUAUGAUCCUAUGUUCUUGAUAUGUUAGUGAAGAGAAAAUAAGAGAAAGUGAUGAAAAAUAGUGUAGAGAAAGAAAAUAAGGGUGUUAUAAACAUGGUAAUUAAUAUCUUGCACUAAAACAGUUUUGGACAACAUCAGUGGUCUAACUUUGAAAAAUCAUCAAAAAUUGUGGAAAUUGAAUUAGAAGUUGAAUACAAUAUGAAAUUAAAUUUUAUUGAGUCUAGUUUUUCAUAGAAGAAAUGGUGUAAGCAAUGAAAUUGUAAAUUGUGAGAUAUAACAAAUUUAGUUAGAUAAGGUCAGAAUGAUUUCGGGUUCUCCUGUUCUGAGUUUGGAAAAUCAUAAAAAAUUGAAGAAAAAUAAUUAGGCUAUUAAAGUUAUAUCUUUAAAAUUCUGAAUAAGUCUAUUUUAAUAUCAUCCUAAUUCUGUAUAAUGAGAUAAUUAAUUUUUAGUAAAGAAGGGUCGGAACUGUCAGACAACAGAAUAAGGGUGACUUUAAAGAAUAAACUGUACUUAUUGGAUAAACCAAAAAUUCUGAAAAUUUUAUAGAAAGAAUAUAUAUGAGUCUAGUUUCAGGGAAAAUUAGCGGAACUUAAUUUGGAGUUCUAUAGCUCCGGAUAUAAAUAAUUUAGUGAUUAUGACGCAGAUAGACAGCUUGAAUAUUCAUAAAAGUAAAUAAUAAAAAUUAUAGAUAAUGUUACUUACAAGUGUGUAUAUACACUAAGGAUGUGGAAUGGAGAGGAGGAGGAGGAAAAAUAUGUAUGAAUAUUUAUCUAGCAUGGCUAAUUUGCAUAUUUUAGGCUCAUGGACUAAAUUGAAUAAAUGUAAAACUUUAUGGGCAAUUUCGUAAAAAUGUCAAAAAUGACCAAAUUGCAUGAAAUGGAUUAUUUUAUUAUUUAAAUUAUAAAAUUGAAUGAAAUUAUUAAUUUAGUUCAAGAUCGAGGGAAAACAUGUUUUAGGGAUUAAAUUGAAAAGUGUUGAAAUCAUGGAAAAUUAUGAUAUUUUAUAGAAUUCAUGGACUGUUAUCAAUAUGUAUGAGAAUAAUAGCUGGAAAUAAGGAUUAAAUUGCAAGAAUUUUAUUUUCCUGACCCUAAGGACGAAAUCGUCAUUAAUUAAAAGUUUAGGGGAAAAAUGGUAAUUUUGCCUAGAGCAUUAAUUAAAUGCAUUAGAAUAUGAAAUGAAUGAAAAUGAUGAUCAAAUUUAUUUAUAAAGAUCCGGACGACUCAAAUACGAGACUUGAUUGUGGAAAAGAAAAGAUAUCAGAUUAAUGAAAUUAUAAACACAAACAAGCAAUGAAGUAAGUUUGUGUAACUUGAAUUGUAUUUUUAAAUACUUGAAAUAUGUGGUUAUGUGAUGAAAAUAUGAUUUGAAUUUCAAUUCAUGAUAAUUGAUGAAAUAUUGAUAAUACUCGAUAUAAAUUGAAAAUAAAUCCCGGUUGAAUGGAAUGGAAUUCGAUGGAUCAUUGGAAAAGGAAUUGACGGUAAAAAGGAUCUAGCCGAACGGGUGAUCCUAUUCUGAUAUAGCCCUCCCAAAGAAUACGUAUAAAAUGGAUUUAGCCCGGACGGGUAAUCCGAAUUAGGGUCUGAAUUUAGCCUGGACUGGUAAUUCAGAUCCAAGCUCAUUAGAGUAAUUGUCGUUGCAAGGGAUUUAGCCUGGACUGGUAAUCCCGACAAUACUCUAUGAGUUUAUAUUACAGGGGAUUUAGCCUGGACUGGUAAUCCCGCUGUAAGGAUGAGGUUCCCAGGAGUGUGCUUUCUGAAAUGAAAUGUGUAAGACCAUGGUUGAAAGAUACCAUGGCAACGUGGCAUGAAAUGAAUAAGACCAUGGUUGAAAGACACCAUGGCAACAUGAUAUGAAAUGUGUAAGACCAUGGUUGAAAGACACCAUGGCAACACGAUAUGAAAUGUGUAAGACCAUGGUUGAAAGAUACCAUGGCAACAUGAUAUAAAAUGUGUAAGACCAUGGUUGAAAGACACCAUGGCAACAUGAUAUGAAAUGUGUAAAACCAUGGUUGAAAGAUACCAUGGCAACAGGAUAUAAAAUGUGUAAGACCAUGGUUGAAAGAUACCAUGGCAACAUGACGGGAAUGAAUAAGACCAUGGUUGAAAGAUAACAUGGCAAUGUAACAUGAAAUGAACAAGACCAUGGUUGAAAGAUACCAUGGAAACCUGACAGAAAAUGAGUAAGACCAUAGUUGAAAGACACUAUGGCAUCAUGUCGAAGAUAAAUAAGACCGUGGAUGGGAGAUGCUAUGACAUCAGUUAAACAAUUGAUAUUCAAGUAAUAUGUAUCAGAUGAUGAAUGGUUAUAUGAAAUGGUUCUGUGAAAUGUUUACAAGAAUUGGUCAUAUGGAAAUAUAUGUACAAAAUAGUUGAAUGAAAUAAUUACGAAGAUAGAUAAAUGAAAUAAGUAUAGGUACAUGGAAUUUAAUUUAUGUUAAUUUUAAUAUGAGCUAUUACCGAAAUAAAUAUACAUAAAAUAUAUGGAAAUUAUGGUGCAUGAAAUAAUGAUAUAACGAAAUGAAUGAUAUGCUUAUGAAGAAACAGUAAGAGAAUAAUAUGUCUCGUGACAUGUACAUAUAUGAUUAUCUUGAAAUGUUGAUACAAGGAAAUUAUGUAAGUAAAAGCAAUUAUUAAACUCAAGUGUGACACGUCGAGAAAUUAAGUAUAUCAAUGUUGAAUUUAUAUGAAAUAUGUACUAGUAUACUAACAAUAUUGUUGUUCGAUGCUUAUACAAGUGCCAAGCUGUUGAUUGAAUGGUAAUAUAUUUAUUUAUAUGAUGCAUUGAAUCGGUAAGUAUUUAAUUUUUUUUAGGUGAUUUGCAAAUUCUAGUAAUGCUCUGAAACCCUGUUUUGACAACGGAUACGGGUUAGGGGUAUUACACUCCUGUUUUCCACAACAUACCAUCCUUAAACGAAUGGUUAAAUAGAGGUACUAAAUCGGCGUCUUGAGAAUUAUCUAAGAUGCAUGACCAAAGAGACACCUGCAAAUUGGUUUAGUUGGUUACCCCUCGCAGCGUAGUGGUAUAACUCCUCUUUUCAUUCCUCCAUUCAGCUCAGCCUACAUGAAGCUUUGUAUGGGCAACCACCACCUCAACACAUGCCUUACUUAGCAUGGGUCUCAUCAGUGGCAAUGGUUGACAAGAGCCUGCAGGCUCGAGAGUCGGCUAAGAAGCUGUUGCAAUUUCAUCUCAAAAGAGCUCAGUCUCGUAUAAAGCAGUUAGCUGACAUACAUCGAUCUGAGAGGAGUUUCCAUGUUGGUGAUUUGGUAUAGUUGCGACUACAACCUUAUAGGCAACAGACAAUUAGGAAGGUUCUUUAUAAAAAAUUAUCUCUUAAGUACUAUAGACCCUUUCCUAUGUUUAAGAAAGUGGGGGAAGUAGCGUAUACUCUUCAAUUGCCCCCAAGCUCCUGUAUUCAUCCAACAUUUCACGUCUCUUGGUCAGUUCCUACUUAAGCUCAACUACCCUUGGUUGAUGCUCAUGGAGCAUUACAAAAAGAACUAGUUAGAAUUGUGGAUAGAAGAAUAGUUAAGAAGGGGAACUAAGCUGUUAUUGAAGUUUUGGUGGAAUGGAUUGACUCUUUUCUCGAAAACGCAACAUGGGAAUCUUUCAAGUCAAAUUUCCCCACUUUCAUCCUUGAGGUCAAGGAUCCUUUUCUUGGGAGGCAGUACUUGUUAUGGGGUGAAAAGCUAAGUAGGAAAAUAAAGAGUAAAAGGGUCUUAAAACGGUAAGUUUAACUUAAGUAAAACGGUGCAUUUAACAUUGAGAAUAAUUUAGCAAAACGGUGCUUAGGGACUUUAAUUAAACGGUGAGUAUUGUUACAACUGAAUUUGCCACAUUUAUCCUUUCUUUAUUUUCCUUUUUAAGCAUUGGUUGUAAGGGAAAAACGUUUAUGAAAUCACACAAGGAAAUUGCAGAAAUCUCUCUUUGCUCACUGUUCUUCUUCUUUUAUCUACUUUCUUCUUAUCUCAGAUUUGAGGUUACAUUAGUUUCCUUUGAAUUAUUAUUACAGUCGAUCACUUCCUGAAAAUUUCACUACCGUCUCUUCAAUGGUCGCAACAAAUGAAGAGUGGAAUUGGACUACAUUUCAAGCUUUGUUUCCACAAGAAAUUUUGUUAAAGAUAACAACGAUUUUACCUCCCAAUGGUAGUGAUGGGGCUGAUUCUCCAGGUUGGAUUUGGAUGGAAAAAUGGAAAUUUACAGUCAAAUCUGCCUAUAAAGCUCUAGCUUCAUCAAGAGUGGGGGACCUAAGUAAACGGAUUUGGAAGCUCAUUGAGAAAUAUCUAGGACCUCAAAGGGUACGUAACUUCUUAUGGCUUGUUUGUAAAGGGGAAAUACUUACGAAUUUGGAAAGAAUGCGAAGGAAAUUAACCAAUGACGCGAACUAAGUUUCUUUUGGUGACGUGAUAGAAGACAUUGAUAGUGUGUUACAUUUCUGUUCAUAUAUGUUGGGGCUAUGGUCGAGCCAUCUGAAGUUAGAAAAGGUUGAUGAUUUUUUUAUGCUAAAUACUAUGAGAUAGGUCAUGAUCAAUGUACGUAAUCCAGCUUAUUUCACAAACAUAAAUAACUGGGAAACUCUGUUUAGUUUCAUUUGCUGGGGGUUAUGGAAGAGGAGGUGUACACGUAUUUUUUAACCAACCUUCAUUGAGACAGAGGGUGUGUUUGAAUUGAGUAAAUGAGCAUGCAAGUAAUUUAAAUGAGCCUCGAUGAACUGUUGUACACUUGUUAAACAAGCUUCGGAACAGGUGUGAUGGGUGAAGUGGAGUUUCCUACCAUCCAGUUGGUAUAAGAUCAAUGUUGAUGGUGCUUUUCGACAGUCGAUGGAUGUUUGCUGGAUGCAUAAUUCGAGAUGACAAAGGAAUGUGGUGUUUGGGUUUUGCUCGACAUAUUGGGUCUGUUCAGCAUUUGAAACCGAGCUUUGAGGUAUCUUGGAAGGUCUACGUUAUGCAUGGUACCUUGGUAUUAGGAAGGCCAUUUUGGAAACAAAUAAUGUAGUGGUGAUAAGACUGUUUGAUAGCAGCAGGUGUAGGAUGACACAUACUCAUGUGAAAAGAAUACGAUCCUGGUUAAAGAGAGAUUAGGAUGUGCACGUUAAGCAUUCUUACAGGGAGUGUAAUGCUGUUUUGGACGCCUUGGCCAAACAAGCUCUGUCUACACCUAUAAAGGCUUUGUUAUGCUUAAGCUUUUAUACAAUGAUAUUAGUCAAGUGGCUAAACAAAGGCUUUGUUAUGAUUAAUCUUUUUGACGUUUUAUCCAUACAUAAUAAUAAUAAUAAAACAAAGCAUAAAAUUACUUUUAUUUUAUUAUUUAAUUGAAAAUAAUAAAUGCUUAAGUUUUGUUUAAUGAAUACUAAAGCUUUAAGUACUUAUUAGAUGGAAUUCACUUUUAAAUUUAUCAUUUCAUUUUAAAAAGAUAAUAAUAACACUAAAAAUUAGAUUUUAAUAUUCUUUUGAAGAAUUCGUAUAAGAAUAUGAUAUUGUGGAGAGAAAAUUGAGUCAAAAUUUAUAAGUUUGUGAAUCUUUAAAUGGUAUAUACCUUUUGAGGUGAUGGUGUUGAAGACUGAAGCGGUAAUUGUAUCAAAAUCGUGUAAAUGAAAUGAUAAACAAUUUCACCAUAGGGUAAAGGGUCUCACCCUUCACAACAUCCUUAAGUUAUUGAUCCUUCGAAUCUAUUCUCAGCAAUAAUGUUAUAUAUUUACAAGUUUAUUACUAUUAAUUUAUUCUGAUUUUUUAAAACUAAAAAUAUACCAAUUUUAAUAUAUAAAAUUACUAAAUAAUUAUUUAGGUUGAGACAAAUUAGAUUAAUAUUUCUAGCAAAUUCAAUAGAAUAAAUUUAGAUCAUGAUUAAAUUAGAAUUAGAAUUAGAUAAUUAAAGAAGAAAGAAGUUUGAAUUUGAAAAUAAAAAUUAAAAAUUAAAAAUCUCGCUGAGACCUAACCUACUUUAAUACGAUAUUUUGAGUAUUUAAUGAGGGCCCAACAUUUCAGGGAUUGCUCAUAUAAAUGUCAAACCUUUCAAAAUGGUCAUAUAAAGGUUAACCUUUACAAAAAUAUUUAAAUAAAGGCUUUUCAUGCACAUCAGCUUAAUUUUUAGUAAAAAUUAAGUGAAUGUUGAUGAGUUUAGAAUAGAACACAUGACAACUAAAUAAGAUAUUACUUGAAAUGAAAAUAAAGAAAUAAAAAAAUAUAAUUUGAAAAGCUAUUAUUUAAGUAUUUGACUAUUUUAAAAUGUUUGACUUUCUUUUGAGUACUUCUAUAAAAAUAUUUGGUUCUUAUAUGAAUAACGACUAAAAAGUUGGGCCAAUCCAAUGAUUAAGCCUAUUUAAUUUAGUCCAAAAUGCUUCUAUGUUCAAUAGUAUAGCUUAAUCCAAGAGUAAUUGAGCAGUAAACUGUUAUUUGGGUUGGAUCAUAACAGCAUUCCAUUUUUGCUUAGCCCAAAACCAACAAAAUCAAAAGAAAGCCAUUUCUUAAAACCCUAGAUUCAGAAUCUUGUUAAAUAUAAGUCUUGCUAUCAUCGCCGCUUUUAAUUGGACAGGAAACCCUCGCUCUUGUAAACACAUACAAACCAAUAGCAAAAUGGCAGAAAGAGGCGGAGGAGAGCGUGGAGCUUUCAGGCGUGGCUUUGGUGGAAGAUCCGACCGUGGCCCAAGAGGAAGGCGUCGUGGCCGCAGAGAGGAAGAAGAGAAAUGGGUGCCCGUAACUAAGCUUGGGCGUUUGGUAAAAACUGGAAAAAUCACGUCCCUUGAGCAAAUAUACCUCCACUCCCUCCCCAUCAAAGAGUACCAAAUCAUCGACCAACUCGUUGGCCCUUCAUUGAAAGAUGAGGUCAUGAAGAUCACUCCAGUCCAGAAACAAACCCGUGCCGGGCAACGUACCCGUUUCAAGGCCUUCGUAGUCGUUGGCGACGGAAAUGGGCACGUUGGCUUGGGAGUUAAGUGUAGCAAAGAAGUCGCAACGGCUAUAAGAGGGGCGAUAAUAUUGGCGAAAUUGUCGGUUAUACCGGUGAGGAGAGGGUAUUGGGGGAAUAAGAUUGGAAAGCCUCACACAGUGCCCUGCAAAGUUACUGGGAAAUGUGGGUCUGUCACUGUUAGGAUGGUGCCCGCUCCGAGAGGUGCCGGUAUUGUGGCUGCUAGGGUGCCCAAGAAGGUGCUCCAGUUUGCUGGAAUUGAGGAUGUUUUUACUUCUUCUAGGGGUUCUACUAAGACGCUUGGUAACUUCGUUAAGGUAUUGCCUUUCUUAAUAGUAUUUUUUUUUAAAUUCUUGGCUUCUGUUGUUAUUUACUAUUGAUUUUGGAUUUGUUUGUAUUUAUUUGGAAAUGGGUUUUUAUUGUUUGAGCAAUUUUUUUAUUUUUCUAAUUCUUCCAUGCUUAUCAGUGAUUUGUUGACUUUUUAUUUAGGUACCAAGAUUCUUUACUUGUUAUUUGAUCAAAUGUGUUUGAUUUGGGAUGUAGGUUAUUAAUUCGAUAGAAAUUGUUGACUAUUCCACUGAUAGUGGUUACUGUUACAUUGUCUGUCUCUAAAUUUGGGAUAUUGAUUAUUUACGAGUGAUCAAAUAUUUUUGGUUUUUAAUUGUUCCCAUGGUUCUUAAAUGCUGAUUUAGUCGAAACAUAUUUCAUCUUUUUGUGCUAAAAAAGUAAUGUUAUCUUGAAUUUACGUCCUUGUAUGUCAUAAUAUAAUAAAUUGGUAAUUGAUGCAUGGUUAAGAAUUUUGCAGAUAUCUUAAGAGUUGAGUAAUUUAAUUCUCUAAGGAACUUACACUGGCUGUAUUGUAUCAUAGUCAACGGUUUGAUAAUAUCUGUAUUUGGGUGUGGACAUGCGUACAUGACUAUUUGUAAGACUGGCCAAUCUUAUUGAAUGUUCCUACCAAUGAUUUGAGUCCUUUUCUCAUGAUUUGCAAUUGUUGAGUAGGGCACAGUAGUUUGGUUGGAGGUUGUAUAUUUUUCUUACAAUAUAUUCUUUGAUGUCUUGAAAUCCCCUACAUUGUUGUGGUUGUAAAUUCUAUACCAAUUGUUGAUUCAGCACCUUUAUAAUUGAUGUUGAAUGUAUGGUUUUCCAUACUAUUUGCAAUGAAAUAUUUUGUUUGUGGUAGUGUGUGUGGGAGGGGUGUUUUGGCUAUAUGUUUGGUUAUAUGUUUGUAAAUUGUUAACUAUUCUUGAAGUUAUUUGUAUUUAAUUAUUGUGAAAUCAGCCUGUUUUCGGUUCUAGAUAGCUGUUUAAGAUGUGUUUUAAAGAUGGAUGGUUGAGUUAUUGGUGAUGUCUGAUUAUGCGUUGAUUUUGGAAUAUAAAAUGCAGGCCACCUUUGAGUGUCUAUUGAAAACCUACGGCUUCUUGACUCCUGAUUUCUGGAAGGAGACUCGUUUCGCAAGGUCUCCUUUCCAGGAGUAUACUGAUCUGUUGGGAAAGCCAGCGAAGACUCUUGUACUUGAAGAUGCAGAGAGGGUGGAUGUGUGAUGGUGAUUAAGAGGGCUUUAGUGCCUAGGGUAGUAAUAUCAACUUCUUUUUUGCCUAUCAAGACAAUGCCUAUGUUCACUUCUUUGCUUCUUCGGUUGUCAUAAGAAAUUUAAGCUCAAGUUUUGUUUUAAUCAAUCCGGAUUUUAUUCAAAGCUUAUGGUUCAUAUAUGAGCUAUGUCUUGCCUUCUCAGCGUAUGCAUAUUAUGAGAUGAAUUAAACCCACAAAUAACAUUUGCUUAUAAUAAAAGAAAAAGAAGCCCAGUUGAGUAUGGUGCUUGUAAUUCAUUGAUAGCAUCUCCUUCGGAAGGAUCAACAUGCUCAGUUAACAAGUUUUGACAGCUAGUUGCCUAAUGAAAUUGAUAUCUAGUGAUAUAGCUGGUUUGAGCUAGGGUAAAAGGUUUUUGAACUGCCGAAUUUAUAGCUUAUGUUGUUGAGAUAUUUCAAGGCACCUUUUAAUUUUUCUCUCUAAAAUUGCCAUGAAACGUCCGGAUACAACAUAGAUCCAUCUGGUACUUUGGGCCAAACUCAUGAGCUUCACAAAUUAGGCACUCGAUAAAGGUCGCUUUCAAGGGCAUCCAUAAAGCACGACUAAGCAAAAGAGAUUGCAGAUAAAGCAACACGCGGCAAUGACCCAUUUGUCGCAGCAUUUCUUUGGAUAAGGAAAUGGAUAAAGGGGUUACCAACAAUGCUUAUUCCACGACUAACUAAAAAUAUAAUCAACAACUACUCCAGCUUUCUCAUCAAUCACAAGCAAACCUAAAAAGAGUCUGCGCCCCUUGAUACCACAGACGGACAUGGCUUCAAUGAGCAUGACAGCCUCUCUCCUUCCGAGCUCAAGCUCCAGUUUGACUAGACUUCCUUCAAGAGCUGCUCGCAGAGGUGCGAUUGUGGCCAAGGCGACCAGCGCCGACCAAGGAGACAGGGCCAGCUUGGAAAUAAUGAAGCAAGAAGGCAGCAAUGGGAGGAGGGAAUUGAUCUUUGCAGCUGCUGCCGCUGCCGCUUGCUCUGUUGCAAAUGUUGCGAUGGGAGAAGAAGAGCCUAAACGUGGGACGGCUGAAGCUAAGAAAAAAUAUGCUCCUGUUUGUGUCACAAUGCCUACUGCUAGAAUCUGUCGGAACUGAACCUUAAGUUUCUCUGUAUCUAAUGUGGAUUUGUAUGUGAGAUUCAUGUACCGAAUUGUAUGAAAACUGGCAUCUCUUUUUUAUUGGAGAAUCCUUAUUUUAUAUAUAUAUAAAUAUAUUCCUCUCCCUUUUCAAUUUCUACUGCCUCAGGUUCUAAUUAUUUUGUGACAAUUACUAAAAUCUUGGCAUUUUGAAGCAGCCAUUUGUUUGUGUUGGGACAUGUUUGUUACCUUAAUUUGGAUAGCCUCUUAAACUUGUAUUAAUUGUUGUGGAGGCUGGCUGAGAGUAUUAAAAGUAUGGUUUGAUUGUUAUGGUGGAAAUUUUUUUUUGACAACUUCGGAGGCAAUUAGAUGACAAUUUGGAUCUUCCAAGUAAUUGAUAGAGCCAAAAUGUUCUCAAAUUGAAGUCUAGGAAAGACCAUUAAAGUAAGAUUUUAGGUUUAGUUUGGGUUCAAGAAACUUUUUUUAUCAAACAUUGUUCAAUUAGUAUAGUUAUUAUUGUAGUAAUUAAAAAACAUGAAUUUAAAUAUACUUAAACAUGUUUCUCAUCUAAUUUAAAAGUUAAGAAGCAAUUAUAAAUAGAAAUAUAUAUUGUAUAAAAAAAAUACUUUUAUUAUCAUACUGUUGAAUAAACUUUUAAAUUAGUUACUUCGUAUCCCCUUUCCUUAUGUGCCUCCUGUUAUGUCUCUAUGUUCACCUUUCUUGGUUAGCUUGAAACAUUAAAGUUUGUACUACACAUCUUACAAUGUAAUACAUAAAAUAUAUAAUAAAAAAAUAUCAUAAAAAAAUAUCAAUUUGACAUAAAAGUUUAAACCUUCAAACAUGUUACUCCAAUAGCAAGCAUUAGUUGUUAUUUUCAUCCAAUGAAAUGCUAACACAUGACAACAAAACAUUCAUGCAAUCUACAUGUCAACUUAACUACGUGUCAGAGGUAAGGUGCUCAACAAGCAUUGCUGUUGUAGGUUCAUUAUUGUUAUGAUAUGCAUUGCAUAGUCCUACUUGUGUCAUAGGUUGUCUUGUUUAACACUGCUAUCCUUAGAGUGUCAGGUGUUAGACGAUCCCACUUGUCCUUGGAUAAGGGGUUCUUUCAAAGGGUGCCUAGUAAGGGGUUGUCUUGAUGGGUAGUGAAGGGUGGCAUAACAAUUGGAUGAGGGGUACUCUCGGAGACUGCCCAGUGAGGGGUUAUCUUGGUGGGUAGCGAAAGGUGGCAUAACAAUUGCCUCCUUUAGAAUCGAAGGGAAAGUUAUAAAGUGACUAGCUCUGUACCCAUUGAAAACUUAGAACCUAAAUGGGCUUAGGCGAGGAGUUUUUUGUAUUUUCGUUUUUGCUUGUAUUUUGUAAUUUUUAGAUUUAUUUGAAUGAGAACAUAUUAUUCUCAAUAUAAAUUGUUUUGUUUCCUUGAUGUUUAUGCACACAAGUAAUACAUUUUAACCUUAUUCAUUGAUUUUACUAGGGCUUGAAUUUGCUAAACUUUUUAAUGAAUGACAACUUUGAUUGCUCACUUUGACAACUUUAUUGAAUAAGAAACGUUUACAAUUAGGCUUGCUUUUAAAGGAGAAUAAAUAUUAGUAAAUGUUAGAAUUAAGUGACCCAAAUUCUUAUUUAAAUAAAAUACGAUGGAAAAUAAAAUAAAAGUAAAAUUCAUAUAGAACUAGACUUCUUUUAUUUUAUUUUCAGAAUAAGGUUUUUAAACCUUAUUAAACUCCAUCUAUUUUAUAUUGAUUAGGAUAAGGUGUUUCAAUCCUACUAGAAUAUGGCUUUGCAAGCCUAUAAAUAGACAUAGUCUAUUCCUCUUGUAUUUGAUUCAAAUUUUUUGACAUAGUGAAUUUUUUUCUCCUCUGCCCGUGGUUUUUUUCCCGGAAGGGUUUCCACGUAAAAUUUGUGUGUUCUUUAUUUUAUUUAUUUUAUUUUUUCACAAAUUGGUAUUAGAGCUUCCAGGUUAUUCAUCUCGAUCACGGUAAUGGCGUCUUUGAAGUAUGAAAUUUCGCUGUUGGAUCGCAACACCAGAUUUACGUUGUGGCAAAUUAAGAUGCAAGCAGUUCUUGCACAGAUGGAUCUGGAGGAUGCCCUGCUAGGGAUAGAUAAGAUGCCUUCGACAUUAACAGAUGAAGAGAAGAAGCGUAAGGAUCGAAAGGCAUUAACACAAUUACAUCUGCAUUUGUCCAACGAAAUUUUGCAGGAUGUGAUGAAAGAGAAAACUGCCGCUGCAUUAUGGAAGAUGCUAAAACAAAUAUGUAUGUCGAAAACUCUAACAAGCAAGUUGCAUAUGAAGUAGUGUCUUUAUGCUCAUCGUUUGGAGGAAGGUGCGUGUAAUAGCCCGAUUUUAGGCUUAGUCGGAACAGUGGUUUCGGGACCACAAAUCCGACAAAAAAAAUGUAAUGGCUUGAAUUUUCAGAGGUGUCGGAACGGUGAUUCGAGAUCACUAAAUUCGACAAAUGGGUAGAAAAUAUUAUUAAUUUAGUAAGUAUAAGUUAAAUAUGAAGUUAGGAAAAUUUUUGAAAUAGUGAAUAGUGCACUAGAAAUAAAUAUUAAAAUAAUUAGAAUCGAAAUGAGGUAUCAAGACCUCGGGGAUUUUAAACUGAGCCAUAAAUAUUUUUAUAAAUAUUUAUGGAGUGUUAAAAAGUUAGUAUUAAAGUUUCGUUAAGAAAUUUUAAAGUUCCGAUAAUUAAUUGAACAAAAAGGACUAAAUUGUAACAAAUGCAAAAUUUUGGGAAAUGAUUAAAUAGCUUAAAUGAUAAAAGGAAGAGGGCUUAAAAAGCAAAUAGACCCAAGGUCUAUUUGGGCUGGACGGCAGAGGCAUGAAAUCAGCAAGAAAGUAAGGAGAAUUAAGGGCAAAAUUGGAAAAUUGCAAAAUUUGCUUAAUAAAGUUAGGACCCAAGUGGAAUUAUCUAGAUUUCUCUUCAUUUUUCUGAAUUCUCAUCAGCUAAAACACCAUGGAAGGGCUUCUUCAAGCUGGUUCUUCAUAUUUUUAUUACAAGUAAGUUCAAUUCUUGACUAUUUCUUGAAAUUUUUGUAUUUUUAUGACUUUUACAACUAGGCCCACUUGUUAAAUUCAUUAGUUUUUGAUUUUAUGAAAGAAGUUGAAAGUUGAUAUGAAUAUGUGCUGGAAGUAUAUGAUGAUUUAGCAUGAAAUUAGAGCUUUAAAUUGUUCAUAUGCUGAUUUUAUUGAAAGAAUUGAAUAGAAAGUGAAUGUUUGGGACCUAAUAGUAAAAGAGUUUGAAGAUAGAGUUAUAUGUGGAAAUUCUGAAUUUCAAUAGUUGUGUAACAACUUAUAAUGUCUAGUAAAGUACUAAUUGAGAAAAUUAGAUUAAUUGAGGGGUUAAUUGAGAAAGGACCGAAUUGUAUAAACUGUGAAAUUUGGGGCAAAAUGGAAAUCAACAUUUUGCACUAAAGCAGUUUUGGACAGCAGCAGUAGUGUAACUUUGAAAAAUCACCAAAAAUUGUAGAGAUUGAAUUAGAGGAUGAAUAAAAUAUGAAAUUAAAGCUUAUUGAGUCUAGUUUCUUAUAAAAGAAAUGAUGUGAGCAAUGGAAUUGUAAAUCAUGAGAUAUAAUAGAUUUUGUGAGACAAGGUCAGAAUGAAUUCGGGUUCCCCUGUUCUGACUUUGGAAAAUCAUUAAAAAUUGUACAGAAAUUAUUAUGAGUUAUAGUUUAUAUGGUUAGAAUCCUUAAUGAGUUUAUUUUUAGAAGAAACAAGCUAAAACAUCAUCCGAAUUCUGUACAAUGAGAUAAUUAAUUUUUAGUGAAGAGUGGUCGGAACUGUCAGACAGCGAAACAGGGGAAACUUUAAAGAAUAAACUGUACUAUUUGGCUGAACCAAAAAUUAUGAAAAUUUUAUGGUAUGAAGAUAUGUGAGUCUAGUUUCAGGGAAAAUUAGCGGAUCUUAAUUUGGAGCUCUGUAGCUCCGGAUAAAAAUAAUUUAGUGACUCUGACUCGGAUAAACAGCUUUGAAUAUACAUGUUAGUGAUAAGUGGCUACACUUAUCUGAUCAAGAGACAAAGUGAUAAGUGGCUACACUUAUCUGAUCAAGAAACAAAGUGAUAGGUGGCUACACUUAUCUGAUCAGGGACAAGUGAUAAGUGAUCAUACGUAAGACCAUAGUUAUACUAUGGCAAAGUGAAAGUGAAGUACUCAAUUUUCCGUGACCGUUCCCUAAUUUGAUUAAGGAUGGUAAGUGACAAAUGGGCCCAAAAUAAUUAAAGUAAAUGGAUAAGUGGUAGUGUAUUUAUAUCAGGACGAUGUUGUUAUUCAAACUAAAGUGAUAUUUUCAUUGCUAAAUUGAGAAUUUCAUAAAUGUGUUAUUGAAUGGUAUAAUCAAUAAACAUUGAGUUAAAUGGUAAAUACGUAUUAGUUUUGAAUUUGAUGUCAUUGAAUUGUACGUGAAUUAAAUGGAAAUUUCUAGUGAUAUGAUUUAAAUUAUGAGCAUGAGAAAUUGCGAAUUGAAUGAAAUGGAAAUGAAGCAUUAAAUUGCAUGAGUAUGUAUCGGGUCUCGCAGGCCCUAAUUAUUAUGAUUAUAAUAUUUUGAGGAUAUAUUGUGAAAAGUUAUAGAAACAUGUUAAUUAUUUUUGAAAGUUUUAAUUUUGAUGAAAUUUUAUAACUCGGUUAAAUACGUUUACAAGUGUAUGUGUUUUGGUAAUGCCUCGUACCCUAUUCCGGUGUUGGAUACGGGUAAGGGGUGUUACAGUGCGUCUGUACACGAACACUUAACAGUGUUUAAAGAAAUUCUCUCAAACUUGGAGGCCAUGGAGGUUCAGUAUGAUAAGGAAGAUCUAGGGUUGAUUCUACUUUGUUCGUUGUCCCCGUCUUAUUCAACCUUUAGAGACACGAUUUUAUAUAGCCGCGAGUCUCUCACAGUUGAUGAGGUUUAUGAUUCUUUAACCUCGUAUGAUAAGAUGAAGCAUCUUGUGGUUAAACCCGACUCUCAGGAAGAGGGUCUCAUUGUUCGUGGGAGACAAGAUUAGAAUGCUGAUGAUGAUCAUGGUAGGACACAGGAACGGAAUCCUCGUGGUAAAUCUAAGGGUAGAUUGAAGUCUUCAAACAGAGGUAAAACUUGCAACUUCUGCAAGAAGAAAGGGCACAUUAAAUCUGAGUGCUAUAAGCUACAAAAUAAGAUUAAAAGAGAGGCUGCGAAUCAAAAGGGAAAACAACCAGAAAAUUCCGGUGAAGCUGAUGUUGUAGAAGACUACAGCGAUGGUGAACUUCUAGUCGUUUCUGUCAAUGAUUCUAAAGUAAGCGAUGAGUGGAUACUUGAUUCAGGCUGCACCUUCCACAUGAGUCCCAAUCGGGAUUGGUUUACAACUUACGAAACAGUAUCUGAAGGUGUUGUUUUGAUGGGAAAUAAUGCUUCAUGUAAAAUCACAGGCGUUGGAAUAAUUAAAGUUAAGAUGUUUGAUGGAGUUGUCAGAACACUUAGUGACGUGCGGCAUGUUCCAGAAUUGAAAAGAAAUUUAAUUUCGUUGAGUACUCUUGAUUCAAAAGGGUACAGAUACACAGCUGAAAGUGGGGUUUUAAAGAUUUCCAAAGGGUCCCUUUUUGUGAUGAAAGGGCAGAGAAAGAUUGCCAAGUUAUAUGUUUUAUAGGGUUCUACUGUUACUGGUGAUGCAGCUGUCGCUUCCUCUUCCUUGUCAGAUGAUGAUAUUACUAAACUUUGGCAUAUGUGCCUAGGGCAUAUGAGUGAGAAUGGUAUGGCAGAAUUAAGCAAAAGAGCACUUCUUAAUGGGCAAGGAACUUGCAAACUGAAUUUCUGUGAGCACUGUGUUUUUAGGAAGCAAAAGAGAGUUCGAUUCACUAGAGGAAUCCAUAACACGAAGGGAACGUUGGAGUAUAUUCAUUCUGAUCUGUGGGGGCCAUCUAGAGUGCCUUUGAGAGGUGGAGCUAAUUAUAUGCUAACCUUUAUUGAUGAUUUUUCCAGAAAAGUUUGGGUGUUUUUCCUGAAGCAGAAAAGCGAUGUGUUUUCCACAUUUAAGUCUUGGAAAAUUAUGAUUGAAAAACAGAAGGGAAAACAGAUAAAACACCUCCGCACAAACAAUGGCUUAGAGUUUUGUUCUGAUGAGUUUAAUAGAUUGUGCAAGUCAGAAGGGAUCAUAAGACACUUGACAGUUCGUCAUACUCCACAGCAAAACGGCGUUGUAGAACGAAUGAACAGAACGAUCAUGGAGAAGUUUCGAUGUAUGUUGUCAAAUGCCAACUUACCGAAGGCAUUUUGGGCAAAAGCGGCCUCUACUGCAUGUUUUUUGAUCAACCAAUCUCCAUCCGUUGCCAUUGAGAAAAAGACUCCACAAGAGGUAUGGUCUGGUAAUCCUGCUAAUUAUUCUGAUUUAAAGAUUUUUAGGUGUCCUGCCUAUGCUCAUGUUGAUAAUGGAAAAUUGGAACCGAGAUCUAUUAGAUGCAUUUUUCUUAGUUAUAAAGCUGGUGUAAAAGGGUAUAAGUUAUGGUGUCCUGAAAAUAGAAAAGUUGUGAUUAGCAGAGAUGUUGUUUUUGAUGAAACUGCUAUGCUACCUAACUUAUCUCUUAAAGACUCUUCCAAUAAAGAAAAUCAAAAGCAGGUGGAGCAUCAGAUUAAUACAGAGUCAACUCCUCAAGUCAGAACAAAAAUUGAGAAUAGAUUUGCUUCUUCACCACAAUACUCUAUCGCCAAAAACAGAACUAGAAGAGAAAUUAAACCUCCAAAGAAGUAUACCGAGGUUGAUCUAGUUGCUUAUGCUUUAAAUGUGGCUAAAGAUAUAGAUGCGAAUCAAGAGCCAUCUAAUUAUUCUGAGGCGGUUAGCUGUGAAGACUCAGAAAAGUGGAUGUUUGCUAUGCAAGAAGAGAUGAAAUCACUCCACAAAAACAGAACAUGAGACCUUGUGAAACUUCCUAAAGGUAAAAAGGUUGUUCGUUGUAAAUGAGUGUUUAAAAAGAAAGAAGGGACUCUAGGAGUUGAAGAACCCAGAUAUAAAGCAAGGCUUGUUGCAAAGGGUUACAGUCAAAUUUCAAGAGUGGAUUUCACAAUGUGUUCUCUCCAGUUGUUAAGCAUAGUUCGAUUCAAGCUUUGCUUGGUAUUGUGGCCAUGCAUGAUUUGGAGUUUGAGUAGUUAGAUGUAAAAACUGCAUUUCUGCAUGGAGAACUUGAGGAAUAUAUUUACAUGCAACAACCAGAGGGUUUUAUAGUCUCAGAAAAAGAGGACUAUGUACUGAGAAAGUCCCUUUACGGUUUGAAACAGUCACCAAGACAGUGGUACAAGAGGUUUGAUUCCUUUAUGACUUCUCAUGAUUUCAAAAGAAGUAGUUUAGACAGUUGUGUUUACUUUAAGAAAAACAGUGAUGGUUCUUUUGUGUAUCUACUUCUUUAUAUUGAUGACAUGUUGAUAGAAGCAAAAGAUAAAGGAGAGAUAAGAAAGGUUAAAGCCCAACUAAGUGAAGAAUUUGAGAUGAAAGAUUUAGGACCAGCAAAGAAGAUACUUGGUAUGAAGAUUCUCAGAGAUAGAAAAGCAAGUAAAUUGUACCUAAGUCAGAAGGGGUACAUUGAGAAAGUUCUUUGCAGAUUCAAUAUGCAGGGUGCUAAACCUGUUAGUACUCCUUUAGCAGCCCAUUUCAGACUUUCAUCGGCCUUGUCUCCUCAAUCAGAUGAUGAGAUUGAGUACAUGUCACAUGUUCCAUACUCUAGUGCAGUGGGAUCUCUCAUGUAUGCUAUGGUUUGUUCACGUCCAGGUUUAUCAUAUGCAGUCAGUGCAGUUAGUAGAUAUACGGCAAAUCCCGACAAAUAACAUUGAAAAGCAGUUCAGCGGAUUUUUAAGAUACUUACGAGGCACUACUGAUGUUUGCUUACAGUUUGGAAGAACUAAAGAUGGAGUUAUAGGGUAUGUUGAUGCUGAUUUUACUGGAGACCUUGAUAGAAGAAGAUCUCUCACAGGUUACGUCUUUACAAUCGGAGGUUGUGCAAUUAGUAGGAAAGCCACUUUGCAAACUACAGUCGCUUUGUCUACCACUGAAGCUGAGUACAUGGCGAUUACUAAGGCUUGUAAAGAAGCUAUUUGGUUGAAGGGACUAUUUAGUGAACUCAAUGAAGACCUUCAAAUCAGCACAGUAUUUUGUGACAGUCAGAGUGCCAUCUUUCUUACAAAAGAUCAAAUGUUUCAUGAGAGAACAAAACACAUUGAUAUUCGGUAUCAUUUUGUUUGUGAUAUUAUUGCUUGUGGUGAUAUUGUUGUGAGCAAAAUUAGUACUCAUGAAAAUCCUGCAGAUAUGAUGACUAAGUCACUUCCUAUAACCAAGUUUGAGCAUUGCUUAGACUUGGUUGGUGUUCAUUGUAAAAGUUAAACCCUUAAGGGGUUUUAUGGAAGAGGUGGAGAACUUGUUUAUUGAAAGUUCGCGAUGAAAAACUUGUUCGUUAAGAAUUUGUGUCAAGGUGGAGAUUGUUAGAAUUAAGUGACCCAAAUUCUUAUUUAAAUAAAAUACGAUGGAAAAUAAAAUAAAAGUAAAAUCCAUAUAGAACUAGACUUCUUUUAUUUUAUUUUCAGAAUAAAGUUUUUAAACCUUAUUAAACUCCAUCUAUUUUAUAUUGAUUAGGAUAAGGUGUUUCAAUCUUACUAGAAUAUGGCUUUGCAAGCCUAUAAAUAGACAUAGUCUAUUCCUCUUGUAUUUGAUUCAAAUUUUUCGACAUAGUGAAUUUUCUUCUCCUCUGCCCGUGGUUUUUUUCCCGAAAGGGUUUCCACGUAAAAUUUGUGUGUUUUUUAUUUUAUUUUAUUUUUUCACAGUAAAUGUGUAGCUAUGCCUUUUAUGAGUUUUGUGAUAGUAGGGGCAACCAUUCAAGAUUAUGCAAACAUGAUAGUAGGUGCAAUCAUUUGAUAUAGUUGUUCGAGAUUACACAAGGUGUAACUGUUUAGGAUAUGCAAAUAUGAUAGUAGGUGCAAUUGUUCGGUAUUGUUCGAGACUACAUAAAUAUAAGGAGAGGUGCUACCAUUCAUGGCAAAGCUGUUCAGAAUCACGCAAAGUGAUAAAGGUGUCAUUAUUCACGGCAAAAUCGUUAAGAUUACGCAAAAUCGAGGAAAGAUGCCACCAUUCACGAUGAAACCAUUUGAAAUUACAUGAGUGAUGAAUGGGGCCACCGUUCACGGUGGAGCAGUUUGAGAUUACAAAAAUUACAGGAGAGGUGCCACCGUCCACAGCGAAGCCGUUCAAAAUUACACAAAGUGAUGAAAGGUUCCAUUGUUCACAUCGACACUGCUCAGAAUUAUGCAAAUUUGAGGAAAUGUGCUAUCAUUCAUGGUGAAGCCAUUUAGAAUUAUGCAAAGUGAUGAAUGGUGCCAUCGUUUACGACAAUGUCAUUCGAGAUUAUGCAAAUUCAAGUUAAUAAUUACAAUAGGGGUUCCAAUGUUGGAUAAGCCCUUCAAAAACUAAUAUAUACAUAUAUAGCUUGCAUAAAAGAAACAAAUAUAGAAGGGUGAAGCCUGAAUUGUUGAUAACGAGGUAGGGAUAUUUAUAUAAAAUAUACACGUUCCACAUGCGGGGCUUACUUUUCAAAAAAUAUUUUUAAUUUUGGGAUAAUCUUAAUCACCAAAAUUUAGGAAAAAUAAAAUAAGUUAAAUACACAAUUUGUAUUAGAUAUCAUAAUUAUUAAAUUUUAUUUUUACUAAAUUAAUAUUUAGAUAUUACUUUGUAUUAGUUUACGGAAUUAAACUAAAAAUAUUACUAAAUUUAUCAUUAAAAAUUAUAAAUCCUCUAAAAAAUUAAAAAGAAAAACUUUAAAAAACUUUAGGUGCCAAAUAUAAAUUUAUUCUUUUUUAACAUUAAUUAUAGCAUUAAAAAAUAAAAUUUCAAAAUUCAAAGUACCUAAAAGAAAUAUGACAAAGCACCAAGUGAGGGAUGUGAGUUCUCAAAUAUUGUUGAUACACAAAAUGUAUAUUGUGGCGAGGGCUCAUAUAUAUUGCUCCUUAAACGGUGCCACAUAUGAAGCCAAAAUAAUACUUGCUUUGAUGUAGGAGUUCUGUUCCAUCACUAGCCACACGUUUUUCCCCACUUAGGUCAUACAACAUGCUUUAAUUAUUAUUUAAUCAAAUGCUUUGAUAAAAUUUCGUUUCAAAGUAUAGUGCUUUUUACACUUAGCUAUUUUAAUUAUUUUAAUUAAAUAAAAGAGUUAUAUUAAAUAUUAAAUACAAAUAAAAUAAAUAUCAUUUUAUAAUAUUUAUAACUGUCUUUCUUCAUCUUCAUCCUCUUGCCCUCCCUCUUCCAUCCCUUAGCCAUAGGAACCCUCCACAACUUCAUCACCUUUCUCAUUCCCAAUUUUCGGUUCCUGUUAGCAGGUUGCAAUGAUAUUACAUUGCUUAAAAAGAAAAUCUUAUGAGAAAAUUUUAAGUGCUAAGAACAUUGGGUUAAGCCUAUUUAUUAGGUAUUUAUACAUCAUGUCGAAAAGAUAGACAUUUGGACUAUUAUUUUAUGGAUAAUUAUCUUAUACAUUGUUAAUAGAGUAAAAAAAAAAGUUCACAAGCGGGUUUGGAUUGAUACCAUUUGUUUUUAGAGUUAGUAUUUGAUACAUUAAUAGUGUAUUUUUUUUUAUUUUACAAACAACUUUCAAAAAUCGUCAUGUCAUCUAUUUUUUAAUAUUUUACUAUAUAUUUAUAGGAUAUUUUUCAACCACUAACCUUAUUUAUAUUUUAUCAAAAUAAAAUAAUUUAAAAAGAUACUUAACAUUACCUUAAAUUCACUUGUGAAGAGUCUUAAACUAAGGGUUUGAGUGAUAGAAUUAGUCAAAAUCGAUAAUUUGCCGGCUCGACAUUGCCUUCUCUUGCUAGUUGAAGUGUUGAGGCGUAAUAAUAUUUGGUAUGGUAAGAUUGGAGGGUUCUUUUACAAUUCAAGGAAGGGAGGUUUAUAGUAUGAAGAUCUUUUGUGUAAUGUUUGUUGCUUAUGUUGGGAAUGCUGAGGUUGAUAUAUAUAUAUAUAUAUAUUUGCUUGUGACAUUUCUUUUUUUAAAUUUUUAAGUAUAUUUAUUUGCUGCAUAUUUUGAUUGUCUUGAAUUUUUUAUAAUUGUUUAUGGAACGCUUGUAUCUCAUUAAUUAAGAUUUUUUUUCCUGUCACAUAACACAGUGAUUCAAAUUAACAGAAGAUGUAGUGAAGAUGUAGUGAGGGAUGUAACAACAUUCAAAAUAAGUUCCUGCCAAUAUUCUACCUUUCCUUGCGUACGAUUGGUGGAAUCAAAUUGAGAGGUGUUCCUUUCUUCUUCUUUUUUUCCCUUAGGGCAGGAUUUUAAUUAAAGUUUUUGCUUUCUUUUUUGUUAGUCAAUUUUUCAUGGUAAGAUUUUGUUAGUCAAAUAUACAAUUUUCCCCAACAAUACUAAGGCAGUCACAAUGGCCAUUUUCUCUUUGCCUCGUAUCAAUAAAUCAUUUGCAUUUAACUUCAAAACCAAGAAGUCUAUGAAAUGCUCCAUUAUUUUAAACAUGAACUAUCUACUAAUAGGCAAUUAAAUGUUUCAAACACUAAACAAUUGAACUAUCUACUUUUCAAUUUCAUCAGACCAUUCCAAAUAUCUCCUUCACUCGUCUAACUUCAAUAGGACAAUAAAAACAAGUUCUUCAUUUCCUUCCAUUUACUUUGAACCAAUCUUGGAGUCCUCAAAAAUUGAAAAUCCCUUAAUAUUUAUUUUUAACACUAACGUCCCAUAGGAAUGGAAAUUAAGCUUCACUGAUAUCAACAUUGCAAGAAGUUGGGAUAGAAUUGUAUUCACUUCUACAAUAACCAAAAACCAAUUAAACAUUUUUAUCUAAGACAAUGGAAAAAAUAUACAAAGUUUCAUAACUUACCUUGGCUGUUGACGCCUGCCACAUGUGUGCUUUGUAUGACAUUUGCAAUUGCAAAAUGAACAUGUUUUGCUCUUUUUGUUACUUUCCUCAAUGCUACUUGUUUUUCUUAAUGAAGUAGGAUGUCCUUUGGUGACAGCAUGUACAGGAUCUCGCAAAAUUAUAUCGUCUUCAAUAAUUAUGGAAUCAUCAAUAGAAAUUGACUUCUUAGCUUCAUCAAUUUCAUCAAUGACUAAAUUAUCCAGUUUAUCGAACAAGCUUUUGAUACCACGGAUUGCAAGAUCGUACGCUCUUUCAAUAAGUCCUAUAGAGUGUAUUAUAACACUAUUAAAUCACAAACUAGAUGGCUCACUCACUUUAUCAACAAUCACGUUCUGUAUUUUUUAUUCUUUUAUGAAAACCAUUAACACAUGUCAACAUAAAAUUCUUAUGAAUUCAAACUUGUGACAAUUACAAACACUUAUUUAAUGAUACGUAAACAGUUAUUAUGUACAUUGACUUUUCCUUGUUAAACCCAUGCACCUUGUAUACUUUUGAACCAUCACUAACACCAACUCGAUCAACAACAUACUCUUGAGCAUGAACUAACUCAUCUUGAAACAUCUAAAUAACUUUUCGCGUGUAUACUUGAGAGGCCUCCGCUCCCAUAGGAUAUAAUGUUAUCAAAAUCGGUUAUGAGUUCAUAGUCUUGAAAUUUGUACUCACUGAAGUACUAACAUUGACCUAAUCCCUGAAGAACUUAUUCAAGCUUUCAGUUCUUUGAGUUGUUGGCAUCCCAGCACGAAAUGUGUUACGUUAAAAACCUGGUACCCACUUCUCAUGGAUAGAGUAAAUUUUUUCCAACCAUGAAAUAUUAUGUAAAUUAUAUGUUGGAAUAAUUCUGAUCCAAGCAUAGUCAAAUUCAUCCGGUGUAAAUGUAUUAUGAAUGCAACUAUCGAACUCCUUAAAAUCAACAUUCUAAUGAUAACCAUGACUCAAAAUUUGAGGAAAUUUCUUCUCAAUAUGCCACAUGCAAAAAUGGUGGGCAGUAUGAGACAACUUUUGCAACUGCAUUUGUAAUUGCAGCAUCAUGGUCCGUGAUGAUUGUUGAUGGUGGGCAUCCAUGCAUAGCUUCGAGCCAAGUCUUUAAUAACCAAAUGAAUGUUUUUUCAAUUUCAUCUCAUAAUAAAGCACACCCAAAUAAAAUAGGUUGAUAAUGAUGAUUUACCCAGCAAAGGGAACAAACAACAUCCUAUUCGUUAAAUAAGUAGGAUAAAAUGCUACCACAUCACCAAAAUGCUUAUAAGUCAUUCUAGAUCUUGCAUCUGCCCAAAAACAAUUUGCAAGGCAACCAUCAACAUCGGUUUGAAUAGCUUAGAAAAGACCCGGAUUUUUUGAUUGACAGUUAUGAAAAUAAUCUAACAUGAUUUGAGCAUCUCCUUUCUCCAAUUGCAUUUUUCUUUUACGACUUAAAUUAUCAAAAACAUCACGGUCAGUCAUAUUAAGAUUAUCAAGCCCACCGGAUUCAUGAGAUAGAACAGAAACUAUCUUACUUGGAUGAAUACCAAACUCAUCAAGAAUAUGCAUGAGAUCUUUUUUAUUUUUUGUUAUUGUUGAAUGGUUAGUGUGUCUGUCUUCUAAAGGGUGUUAAAUUCUCUAUUUAUAUGAUGCGAUUUUUAUUCUUAAAUGUGACAUCCUAAGUAUGUCAAUACGUACUCUAUUAUAAGAUUAACACGUGUUCUCAAUAUGGGGAUGCGCCUACAUGAUGGUGCGAACCCAUCCCGUGCUAGUUCACAAGAGGAUCCUAACUCAUCACGUACAAACUCCCAUAUGCGAACUAUGUAGGCCACAAGUCGGUCCUAGUUAGAUAAUCGAGUAACAGAUCGGUAAUAACAAACACCAUAACAGUGUUCUAUAUAAAUAAAUAAAUUUUGUGCUAUUUGGCGAAACUAGUACAUGGUUGUGUUCUGCAUGAAAUCGAGAAAUAACCCAUUUUCCUUCUUUCUUGGAUAUUAGAAUCAUUUCCUUACAACCUUCUCUUGUUUCUUCCGAUGUUGCAUGAACUCUAUCUUCUCUCUCAAAGUAAAUUUUUUUUUUCCCUCACAACUUUCGAACAAACAAAUUCUUGAGCAGUCAUUUCUUUACUUGUUCUUGAUCCAAAAAUCUGAUUUUUACAUGUGCCAAAACCUUUGACUCUCACAUAGCUAUAAUAACAUUGUUGGGUAUGACUCAAAUUUCAUACUAACAUAUGGUGUUGAUGAAUGGAGAUAAAAAUAAAUUUAUGAGAAAUUAAAGGAAGUUUCAAAGCAUGUAUCAAGGCCACUUUUUUAAGGUUUUAUUACCUCCAACUUUGUUAUGGUGUGCAAAAGAGUUAUUGACAAAUAAACUUCGAGAAUAUAAUGAAAUCCAAUGACUGUUGACAUUUUGUACUGACGGAAACAAUCUACAACAAUCUUAAUUUCUAUAAUGAAUUUUUGUAGUAAUUUUUUAUAAAACAAUCUAGGAAUAUAAAAGAUAGUAGAAAAAUAUAAAGAAACUUUUGAUGUAUUUUCUAGUGUAUCCUGCAAAUAAAAUUUCACUCCUAUUUAUAGAGGUCCCAUAUCUCUUUAUAAGGAUAUAAUUACCUAAAUGAAUAGUCAUAUCUUUAGCCAUAAACAUAAUUAUUCUUUUUGGUUAAUUUGCAAUUAUUGAAACAUUAUAUAUAUUUUGAAAAUAUUCUAACAUAUGAUUCUGGUAUAACUUCAACUGUUCAUCUUCUUCAAUUUUAUUUGUUUCCAUCAAAUCUUGUACAAAAUUGUUGUACGUUUUAAUCCUUAAAUAAUAACAUAAUUAUUUAAAUCACAUGACAAGAGGCACUUCUUUAAAGUGAAAAGAAACAAUAUUACCUUAUCACACAAUAUGAAAUAUUCAAAUUAAAAGCAUGUAGUCUGUAACUCCUAUUUAGCUCUACCUAGUAGUUAUUAUUAACCUAGAAUAAAUUCCUCAUUUAACUUGAUAAUCAUGGCUGUAACAAAUACAGUAAAACUAACAAUAUGCUACAAACCCUUACAAGGGAAGAUGAGUAGAUGACACAACAUGCUACCAGCAUCCAUGUCAACAAGGUAACGGUAAUUUAGUCUGAUAACAUAAUAUAUAUAAGAACCUCCUUAAUUCUAGUUAUGACAAAUAUUUAAACCCUACAUCGUGUAUAUAAAUAAAAACAUAUAUAUAUAUAUAGAGAGAGAGAGAGAGAGAGAGAAAAUCAAGUUUGAUUGUAUAUAUAGAGAGAGAGGAUUAAAAGAACGAAAAAAGAAGCUGAUUGAAAGAACAAGAAUCAGAAAGUUUUUGGUCUGACUUUUGAGUGAAAACUCUAUUCGUGAGUUGGUAGUAUUUUAGGGUAGAAAACCUUUAAUUUACUUUGACUUUCUCAUUAACCUUUUUUUCAACCGUCGAUAUUAGUGUUUCACUCAAAUUUUUUUAAUACGCCAAAUGACACUCAAAGAGACAUGUUAAAAGACUCCAUUACUUGUUUAUGGAAUAAUAGCCCUAUAUUAAUUAAUUGGACCUUGAUCGAAUAACAGUCAUAUACCCAUUUUUAUUAAUUUUUAAAUUUUAAAUUUAAAAAAAAUAAUCAAAUCCAUUGAACCAACAACAAUACGAUCAUUGAUUCGAUUUACAAAAAAAAAAAGAAAAAUUCUUCCCAACAGACUAAGUCUGUCCUUUUGGAACUUGGCAAGGAAAAAAAUCAUUUUCAUAACUAUUUAUGUAUUCUCAUCCUCAAAAAAAUUGGAAAAAUUAAACCGAAAAUAAAUAUCUGGAUGGAUUUAUUGGGUUGAGACCAUGGUGUUCAUACAGUUGAAUCACUCCAGGCUCCCAUUUGAAGGGCGUGGAAUUUAGUGAAAUAGAAUUUACUCG
rnacentral:lncRNA from 1 species